rnacentral:lncRNA from 1 species
UCGAGGGCGGCGAAGUCGAUGCCGGAGCAGAAGUGGUGGCCGGCGCCGGAGAGGACGAGGACGAGGGCGCCGGGGUUGCGGUCGAGGGAGGAGAGGGCGAGGGGGAGCUCGGCGAAGGAGUCGAGGGAGAGGGCAUUGCGGGAGGAAGGGCGGUUGAGGCGGAGGUGGAAGACGGCGGAGCCGGGGCUGGCUCGGACGAUUUCCAGGGUCUUGAAUUUCUCCAUUUUCCGGUCGAGGAAGACGAUGAAGAUCGGGAAAGGGACGAGGUUUCUCGGCUCACCUCGGAGCUGGAGAAGGAACGGGUCGCUUUGUUUGUCGGGACUGUUCUUUUUGGGCCGAGCCCAGUAUACCGUGGGCCGGGCAAUGGCUGGGCCGGAUUCGGGUCCGAUUUUUGGGUUAGACAUAUAUCUUGUGCGAAAUGCUCACUUCAAGUUAGUUAGGAGGUAUAUAACCUCGUACUUUGAGGUUUUUUUUUAUUUAUUUAUUGCACAUUGAGAGAAUGUUAAUAUAUACAUAACAUUAUGAUUGUAGAGAAGGCGAAUGACGAUGAUGCAUAAAUUUUGCGGCCCCUCACAAAGUCAAUUCUUAAAUUUCAUUGUUAGUAAUUCGUCUUUUCUAAUGGAGAAAAAGAAUUGUUACUUUUUAAUCCCCAUUAUUGGCACGGUUGGUUGAGGUGCCGUGGGGUUUUCAGCUUAUGAACUAGAGAGUGGAGAUCGCUUGUUCGGAUCCCACAAACUUUACAUAAGUUGUUUUUAUCGAGGGUCACUAUCCACCAAAACAAAAGAUCUAAAUUUAAUUGGUUGAUGAGAUUUCGAGAUAUUCUCGUGGAUCUCUAGGUAAUCUUUCUAUUUGCUUAAUUUAUUGAUUUAGUAUAUCAUAACAAAUUUAGUAAGGAUGCUUGAAAAGUUGGAUGAUUAGAUGCGAUUAACUCAUGCCUGGAUGACUCCAUCGACAUCAAGAUUAUAUGAACGGAUUGAUGGUGGUACAUCUAACUACUACAAGAAACUCAAGUGAUAACAGAAAUAGUUAAAUUGAUCGGGGAAAUGAAAAAUGAUGAAUAUGGCUGCAAAAAAAAAAAAAAAAAUACAAAGUGCUUCUCUCAUUUUGCCGAGGUUGGCAAAGUUUCAUUGAUCCUAAAUCUAGAGUUUUGGCAAAAAAAGUAGAGUCUUAAUCUUAAACAUCUUUUUGAAGAAGUUGCAAGCAAACCCUUCCCUAUAUCACUUCCUUAAUUUUUCCUAUCAAUUUAAGAUUUCAAGUAAUUAUCCAUGUUAAUUAACAUGUCACAUGUCCUUUAUCUAUGGAAUUUUAACAAGAUUUGUAUUUAUACAGUCUCUCUUCAUCUAUAAAUUUUGAACUUUUGAAUUAAAGUUUCUAACUUUGGACUGUUACAUCUACAAUGAGCAAGUACUCAAUGAAUGUGUUAUAUGUACUAAAUUGCAUUGGGGCCUUACAUCGAAUGAGACCUAUUGGAUCCGACGAUCAUGACCCUAAUUCAAAACUAGUUCAAAGCAUGUUCUUGAUGGAAAAAUUAUUUAAAAAAAGUUAUAAAGGUACUUUUAACUUGACCAAUUCCGUCUUACAUAAUUUGAGAUUUGUCAAUUUUGGCUAAAAACAGCUAAAAUGGACACUAGCCAUUCGAUGCGGCAUGUCGGUCAACACUAACGUGGAAAAGUAUUUUUUUUCCCCUAAAGUUUUUGAAUUUUUUGAAUUUUUUAUUUUUUUUUUAAUUUCCCUUCGCCGGUCUAUAGCCUCAUUGGUCAUAAUGAAUGUGUCAUCUCCGCUCGUCUUAGGUCUCCUAGGGGUAGGCAAUGAGUGAUCUUGAAUUGUUGACAAACUUUGUCCAUCAUGACGCUAUCCGGGUUUGGCAUAUUAUCUGUGAUGAUUUUGUGAGGAAUUCCAUAUCGAUAAAUUCUGUUGGGAUUGAAAAAUUUCACUACUCUAGCUUUUGGAAUAGUUUUGUAGGAUGCCACCUCGAUCCAUCAUAACCUCAUUACCUCAUUAGACUAGUGCCACCCAAAAAAAAAGGGUUAGUUGGCAACCCUUGCCAGCCCACAAUAAAUAAAUAAAAAAAGAUACAAAAGAAAAGAAAAAAAUGAAAAUUUAUAAAAAAAAAAUUGCAAAAAUUGUUCAUUUCACUUAGGACGGUUGGUGUUUACUUAAAUAAUUAUUAUUAAAAAUUAGUCGGAAUAACUACAUUAGUAAAUUAUCAAAAUAUUUAAAAUUAAAUUGGUGAAAUUAAAAUGUUUGUGACUGAAUUAAAAUACGUAUAAUAGAUUUAAGAAUUUUUUGAUAAAUAUUCCUAUUUUUAUCCUUGUUCACUAAUUUAAAUAUAUGUACACAUCAUCCUUCUAAGCUAACAAAACAUACUGUCAUGCACGUUUUUAAAACAUGCAAGUUGUUUUUAAUAGCUUAUUUAAGUGAACGUGAAGUUUACAUUGAACGAAAUAACUUAAAAAAAAAAAAAAAAGAGGGUUGAAAGAAGGCCCGCAGAGCAAAAACAAGGUAUAGUCAAAAACAAUUAAAGGCGGUUUUUCAAGAAAUAAUCUUAGAAAGAGGCAUUUAUUCGCUCGUAUUCUCUUGACGUUGCAAAGAAAAUCUAAAUUGACCUUCGGCUAGAUUGAAUUUUUGCAGAAAAUUUCUUUGUAUAAUGUUUUUGUUUGUGAUAACUUAUGAAUUUAUUAUGACAUUUCAUUGUUAAAAAAGGAUAAAAUUGACACUUUUUGCAAAUCUUAAUUAGGAAAAAUCAUAUUAUCCCUGUUAGAAAGUUAAACAAAAAAUAUGAAGUCAUUAGUUGGAGGGAAACAACGUGUUUAUAAAGAGCAUAUAAAACUCGUUGUCAAGCAAUGUAAAAUAUUUCAACAUCUCUCACAUGCAAGCCUAACUAGAAGUGGUACAUGGAAUUUGAUUAAUGGGGUGGACACACAAUGUGAAAGGGACAGCACUUGCCUAUAAUACCAUGUCAAAAAAGUUCAACCCAAAUGCUUAAGUAACUAGAUGGAGUGAGACAACAAUAAAGAGUAUAUAAGACCCACUAUCAAAUGAUGUAAGAUAUUUUGACACACCAUCUCACAUGCAAGCUAGGUUAUGAGCAACAAGUGGAAUUUGAUUAACGGGGUGAACACACGUGCGAAAGGAAUAUCGCUUGACUCCGAUACCAUAUUAUAAAAUCUGACCUAAUAGUUUAAACUAUUAAGUGGAGGGAGACCAACUGCAUAUCAAAAGCAUAUAAGAUCAAUUGUUAAGACCUACAUGCAAGUGGGAUUAGGAGUAGUGCGUUGAAUUUGAUUAACAGGUGGAUAUCCCUUGAUUCUGGUACCAUGUUAAAAAGUCCAAUAAAAAAAACUUAAACUAUUAAGUGAAGGGAAAUCAACUGUAUAAAGAGCAGAUAAAGCUUGUUGUCAAGCGAUAUAAAAAAUCUCAAUAUUCAAUCUUAUGUGCAAGCUAGAUUAUGAGCGGCUCACACGAAAGGAAUAACAUUUGGCUCUAAUAUCACGUUAGAAAGUUCAACCAAAAUCUUAAAUUUUUAAAUAAAGGGAGAGCUUAUGUAUAGAAAGAAUAUAUAAAAUUCAUUGUUUAGCGAUGUGGACAAUUCAACAAUCCCAAAAUCUCUCAUAAAUUCUAAAUUUCAUUUUAUCUUGCCCUUCUUACAUCGAAUUGAGUCCAUUUCUUAAAUAAUUCGACUCACAUGGUUCCUCUUUUUAACUAUUGAUUUUCAAGUUUUGCACCCAAUUUUUGUUCCAUUUUCAAGGGGAAUAUAUAUAUAUAUAUGGAAAAAUCCAAGUAUAUAACAAUUUUACCACAUAACUACAUCAUAUUCAACUCUAUUUUUCUUUUCAAAACACUUAACGAUAUAUACUUCCAAAUAAUUUGUGCUUAGGAUGAGUCUAAAGUACUCUCCAAACCUUUUAUUGCAACUAGAACAAUUGCACAAUGUAGCCUGUCAGAAGCAUAAAAAUUGAGACAAUUACAAAAAAAAAAUCAUAAAUUUAUUGUACAAAUACCUAUUCAAUCAUAAUCAUUUUAAUUUGGCUAAUUUAAUCAUAAUUUUUCUUUUAUAAUUUACCAAUAUAACAAUUUCAACCAAUUUGUUAAGGGAAAUUGCUAAUAUAACGGUCCAAUCAAUGCCAACUGUUCUCCAUGGAAUAGCUGGCCAUUAAUAUAGAUAAUUUUUGCAAUUAUUUUAAUUUUUUGAGUUUUUUAUUUCCUUUUUCCCUAAUUUCCUUAGCUAGUUGCCCUUCCACAGAUGAGCACCAACAAAGGCUGCCUUCACUAAGGUUGCCUUAGCCAAAUUUGGCCAGGCUACCCUCACCAAAGGUUGGCAAGGGCAACCUUCACUUCUGGUUGGUGGAGAAUUGUUGAGGCCCCAACAACUCGUAAAGGGAAAUAGGAAAAAUUAGAAAGAAAUAAAAUAAAAUAAAACAUGCCAAAUUUCGUUUUUAAAAUUCAAAAAAAUUGUCCACAUCCGCACUGUUGGUGCAUUGCCAACAAAAUUUGAUUGAAAAAACUAUAUUGACCAAUCAUUAAAAGUUUUGGGGCUUAAUUGGCCAAAUUAAAAAACUUAGGACUGAAUUGUCAUAUAUACAAUAAAUUUAUGACUUUUUUUAUAAUUGAAUGCAUGCCCUAAGCUUCCUCAUAUCUCAUAUCUCAUAUCUUCUUCUUUUUUUUUAUAACUACUAAUAUCCCUAUUACUAUUACUGCGUCGAUGUGCAUAAAUUACACAACAACAUACAACAAUGAGGGGUUGACUGAUUUCAAGGUAGACUUGUCCUUACCUUGAAUUGGGAAUCAAUCUGACGGCUCUUGAUUCCAAAAAUUUGGAAACGAAAACCAAAUCAAUAAGGACCGGUUUGACCCAACGUGGCUCUUGAGAAACGGGAACAAACACAGCCGUCCACCUUUUGUUCUUUGAAUGAUUUAAAAAUAAAAAAGGUGGCAUGUCUUGUCCUUCACAAAUUAAUUGUGGGACACGUUUUAGGAUGACUAAAAGUUAACAAAAAUAAAAAUAAAAAAUUGAAAAAUAAGCCCAAGUGUGAGAUCCUACAUCAAGUAGUGGGAUUAUAUAUAUACACACUUUAUGGUUUAUUAUAACAUAUUCAAUGUUGUUGGAUAAAAAAGAAGAAAUAAAUUGAGGUAUUCAAUAGUCUUGGUUCAGUUUGAUUCCAUCCCGAAACCACAUUGGUUCCAAUUUUAGGAAUUAGGAACCGGAUCAGUUCAUACGGGAAUCGCCCAAAACUGACUUGAGUGGUGCUUGCCCUUACAAUGGCCACGCCAUUUUUUCGGCAAACUAGUAAGUGUUUUCUUCUUUUAUUGGAUAUAUUCUUAAAACUCCAAUUGCUUUCUCCAACUUGAGUUGAGGAGAUAUUAGAGAUAACUUGGAUAUUUAUUUGAUGUAUAUUAAAGAUAAUUAGGAUAUUUUCUUUGAUUCUCAUUGUCUCUCAAGGUUAUUAAUAUAUUAUUGUAUUUGCUUUAAUUCUCCGGUUCAUGUAUCUUUUCAUAAGAACCCAUUGAAAUAUUCAAAAAUUUCACAUUUCUUAUGCGUGGGAUAAUCUACGUUUUUCCAACAACAAAAAAAAGCAAAACCCGAAGAAGAGGAGCUUCACGUUUUCCAUAUCAAUCGGUAUGAAAUCAGUGACCAGCCCUACGCGUCUUCAUCAAUUGAUGAGAGAGAGAGAGAGAGAGAGAGAGAGUCUUUUAAGGAUUCUCCAGACCAGAUUGAGUCAAGGGAUCGAUGAAGAAUUAUACCUGGAAUAGUUCCCUUAAACCCCCCAUCAGAUUCACGAUAAACAUGCCCAAUAAAGCAUUAUGUGCCACGCAAGACAUGAGAUCUGAAUAAUUUGGAAUGGCCAGGUUUUGAUUUGAUCAUAUCUCCCUUCCCGUACGCAAUCCGGAUAAUCACUCCAUCUCCCUCAUUGAUUUUUGCAGGGUCUGGUGACGCAAAAGGGGCCCUUCCUUACUGUCAACAUCUCUCCCUAAUUUAAGCAGAAAUUUUGCCAUUUCCCCCUCCUUCCAUUACCCCGUGAGAUUAUCAUGUAGCUUUUGUAAUAUCGCCAAAAUAACUUAACAUACACUCAUUGAUUUCCUAAACAAGUGCAUUCCUAGUCAUCAUCAAUAAUUAGCAAAGUACAAAGGUCCGGUGAAACUUUGCCGGCACAUAAAAUUAGAGGUGAUAAUUCCUGACAUAACAUGAGAAAACGACUUAGAUGCAACAUAAAUUUAUCAAUGAGAAAUUGGAAUUUGGUGUGAUGCGGCUUAACUCAAAACCGACAUAACAUGACACUUUGAAAGUAAAUUGAAGAUUUUUUUAUUAUUGACAUGGAAGGACACGAGUGGUUCACACGGACACAUAACACAAGAAUAUGAAUUGCCAGCCCUACGUGUCAUGGGAGGUAACCAUUACAUGAUUUUGUUGUUUUUAUACCUGUAAAGCUUUCGACCAAAAGAAAAAUAAAAAACUGUAAAGGUGGGGCACAUGCGGGGAAAUUUAAGGAAUCAACGUGGCUGGAUUCGAUUCAGGAUGCGUUUCGGAGGAAGACAUACGAUAAGUUCCGACUUUCAAAAGUUCAGAAUCAGCGAGCACAUGCUCGACUUUGGGAUGUACCUUGCAUCCUCUACCCCGAAAAGUGUUGUACCUUCUACAUGGACACCUGGUAGAUUGCAAAAUAUUUUUAAAAAGCACAUUAUUUGUAAAAUAAACUGUACCUAAGCUUUGUGAUUUUAUAUCUCUUACUAGACUCGUGGGGUUAUAUUAUUAUACUAAAGACAUCAAUUUUUCUACGCGACUAACGCACAACAUCGUUACAUUUUAUUAUGUCGACCUAUUCUAUUAGUAUUGACAUGGACAUACGUUCUCUAUCGGGCAACAUAAAGAAAGAUGCUUAAACAGCUAAAUGGGGUUUCCCUCUCUCCUUGCCAAUCAUGGCAAUAUGAUGAGCAAGGCCACUUAUUCUAGGUUUCCUAUGAUUGAAAGCCUUCAAGGGAUUGGGUUACGUUUACACAUUUGUGCGCUUGAACUCACUCGAUAUCAAUUAUGGUUUUGGGACAAACUACAUCAAAUCACAAAACGAUUGCCAAGUGUUCGAUCUUCUGCUUGUUCCGGAUCCACCCCAACAUUGCACCAUGUUCUGAUUGAAUGUUUAAUCAUUAGAUUUUAAUAGUUUUCGUUAGUAAAACGUCACCCUUCAUGGGGCCUCUCAUUCGACACGUAACCUAAGUUUCCUAGAGUCCCUUUCACACAUUAUUUGCAAACAAUAAUGGAAGUUCGCAUCCAUCAGAAGUCAUGCUAUCAUCUUGCCAUUUACACAGCAAAAGCCACCGUAGUUAGGGAAGCUAAAACUUGAAAACUUUUACUCCAUAGUCACUAGUCGAAAAAGCCAUAAUAGUAUCGAUCGAUCACUUCACAGCUCACCAACUUUUCCAUCGCCGAAAAACCACAUUGAAACCGGACUACUUUUGGGGGUGACACUCGGUUUGGGAAUUCCGUGAAAGUGCCGAGGUUUUCGUGUCCUCGCGUCCGGAACUAUAUUGAAGCUUCACACGAUUUGGUAGGACACAAUAAGCAAGCGCAUCAGCUCACGUUUCGCGAAACCACCGCGUUGUGAAAAUCCUCAUGUUGUCAACGCGAUGCGUACGCCAAACAACCGCACGAUAUGGUAAAAGAAGGAGAAACCGCGGGGGUGAAUGAAUGUUGCAUGGCAAAAGAAGAGCGCUACGAGACAAACAACCACCCAUUAAAAAAACAAUAAUACUAGAGGGAGAGCGAGGGGGGGAGGGGUAAUGGUUCGGGGUUUUUGAGUGCGGGGGGGAGUCAGCAAGGAACGAAAAUGUAAAAUUCGGAGAAGUCACGUGAACGAAGCAUUACGCGGGGGACGGCUUUGCGGUGGGAGAGUAACGUAACAAUGCUUCGCGCACCGAUCACCACUCUCGCCCGGGGGCGCGUGCCGCUGCCCCCCCGCCGCCCCAGAGGGCCUCCGCCACGCGCCGGAGGAAAUCGAAAUAUAAUUGAGGGGAGGUACGGCCCGCCGACAUCGUGGCGGAGGAGUCUGUACGGGCACGCGAAGAGGGAGGCACGUGGGGGCGACGAGGAGGAGGAGGGAAGGAGGGGCUGGUGCUGCUGAGAAGAGAAUGAUUUUGUGCUACGCUGCCUACUAGUCCUCCACUUGUGAUGCGAGCACUAUGAAUUUAAUAUGCAUUCUCUCUCUCUCUCCCUUUCUCUCUCUGGCGCGCAUCAAUAACCCCCAUUUUUCUCCUGCGUCUAGUGGGAUGCAACAUUGUGUGUGUGUGUAUAAAGCCGAGCCAUCCCUUGCAUGAUUUUCAUCGAAAGUUAGUGAAAGAGUCGGAGGAGAGGGAAGGGGGAGAGAGAGAGCCAGGGUUUCUCUCCAAACCCUGCUUUCUUUUCUUGGUCUUUGCCUUGGAGAGAGGGGAGGAUUUCUCACGAUCGGAGGUGGAAAAUGGACUUCUUGAUCUUCAUUUUCGGUAUCCUAGGUAAAGAAGGAAGAAACCAGAAGCUGUUCGCCCCUCAUUUCCAUUUGCUUCUUCUUCUUCGCAAUAAUGCUGCUUGCUUGCGCCAUUUCCUUUCAUCCCAUCCAUCUUCAUAUGGUCUACAUGCAUUUAUUUUUUCCGCUUGAUGAAUCGUUCGUAUUUAGUAUCUUUAGCAUGAUUAACAGCAGGCCAUUCUCUUCUUUUCUUCUUCUUUUCGUUUGGCAACUCUUUCUUCCAAAACCUCGCUCUUUCUCUUUCUAUCGAUUGCAAAACACACGUUAAGCAACAACAAAAAUCACAAAGAAAAUGAGAAAAUUUUCCCCUUGCACUAAUCUUGACACCACUCUUCACAUGGAGUUUUUCUCUCUUUUGAUGAUACAAACCCCGCUCGAAAUCAAACCUCCAGCAACCUUUUCAGUCUCUUUGACUUUUGCCAACUUUUUCACAACCCUUUUGGCCAUUUCCUCCAAUGAUUUUUGUUUUCACUCUAGCACACUUUUAGAAUUAGCUUUAAAUGCUUAAGCUGGUACGCUAGCGUCUGUCGUCAACUUAUAGGUCCGUCUUCAAGUUGUUGCAACUAACGUGGGAUUUAUAUUGUCUCAAGUCGAUUUGUAUUUCGUGGGAAUUCAUUAUUUUCAUCUUUUGGCUAUAUCGUGUGUAUACAAAAGUUAUACAACAACAUGCAACAUGAUUUAGUUCGAAUUAUAUUCAACCAUGCCGUAUGUCCUUAGCACUUAGAUUGGUAAAUGACUGAUGUUGUUUUUCUUCUUCUUUAAUUUUAACCCUAGCAAAAAGAGCAUUUUCAUUUGCGCCGUGCUUGCACAAAAUAAUCUAAUGUUUGUGUUUUUCUUUUGCAAUCGAUGAUAGGAAACAUUGUCUCGCUCUUCGUCUUCUUUGCUCCAGUGUAAGUAAUCAUCUUUUUCUUUGAAGUUCUUUUCUUUCACUAGGAUGAAGAUAGUAUUAUUUUAUUUGUUCCCAAUAGAAUAGCUACUGAUUUUUUUUUCUUUUCUCUUGUUGCAGGCCGACAUUUUACCGAAUCUACAAGGAGAAAUCGACCGAGGGUUUCCAAUCAAUACCGUAUUUGGUCGCUCUAUUUAGCUCCAUGCUCUGGCUUUACUACGCAUUCCUCAAAGGACACUCCUUCCUUCUCAUCACCAUUAACUCAUUCGGAUGCGUCAUAGAGAUGGUGUACAUCGCCAUCUACAUUGCUUAUGCGCUGAGAGCUGCCAGGGUACGUAUUGAUCAUUAGACGAUACAAAGCUCAUAUUCCAAUCACAAUGAACCAAAGGGCUUGCUAGGAAACUUUCUUUGGCAAUUCACAUGAUCUAUAAAAUGAAAGAAAAUACAUUCGACAAAAAAAGACUGAAAAUUUUAAGAACACAAUAAAUCCUAGUGGUAGUUUACGACUGAUUGGGUUAACCGAACGUGUUUUGCGCUCUCCAUCCUUGCCAUCUAAAAGCUAUCUUUUUCCCCUAUAUCUCUAACUACCAUAUGUUUGUUCUAUCUAACUUAAUGAUUUUGAUUAUUGCAGAGCUCCACGAUCAAGCUCUUUGCUCUGAUGAACGUGGGAUUGUUCUCUCUCCUAAUUCUCAUAAUACACUUCAUUCCAAACGGUGAUGCACGCACCACGGUGUUCGGAUGGAUUUGCACGACGAUUUCCGUGAGCGUCUUUGCAGCGCCAUUAGGCAUUGUGGUGCGCACUUACAAAAUCCAAUAUUUAUUUUUCCAAAUUCUCAUAUCUAACCACGGAGAACGCAUUUUAAUCUUCUUGCUUUUUUUCCCUAUUCUGGUCUUCUUAGGCACGAGUUGUGCGAACGAAGAGCGUGGAGUUCAUGCCCUUCUCUCUUUCGUUCUUUCUAACAUUGAGCGCCAUCAUGUGGUUCGGCUACGGUUUCUUCCAAAAGGACUGGUGCAUUAUGGUAAGGGAUUCCCAUUUUCGAAAAAAUAAAUUAACGAUCGUGAAGGAUCACUUUAAUUUGUAUUUGAAGUGUAUGUUCUGUCGUAAUGUGCAUUGGCGUAAUGUAGGUCCAAAUAUUUGUUCAGCAUUAAUUUUGGGUUCAGCUGCAUUGGGGCAGACUAAAAUGUUUUGUCAAGUUUUAACAUAAGUUUUGGCGGAACUUAAAGAAUAUUCUUGACCUGGACAUGCAGAUACCGAACAUCGUGGGCUUUGUCUUGGGACUGUCUCAGAUGGUCUUGUACGGAUACUACAGAAACAAAGGGGUCAUCAUCAUCAAGGACGAGAUCAUGGACGAGAAGCUCCCGCAACACGUCGUUCACCCCACCUCAGGAAGAGCCUCUGUAGUCCACCCCGUCACCGUUGAAAUCUCGCUCCCCAUCAAUGGCGGUGAAGCCCGAGCGGAUGAGCAACAGCCACAGCCAUCACAACUGCCGGAGGGUGCCGUGGAAGUGGUAGUUUCCGGCAAUGACCCGGGGUCUGAUCAGCCAAGUUAAAUUGGCUCAAGCCCAACUUACCAUCGAGCGGGGCUUUAAUUAAGAAUGUGAAGGUUGUGUCGGUCUAUCCUCCUCUCCAUGAUGAUCCUACUUGCUCUAUCGAUAUCUCUCUCUAUCCAUGUUCGGUUGGUGUACAAUUGUAUGAACAAGAAAGUGUUCUGACAAUCUCUUAGAAGUGUAUUCAUUAUUCCAUUUUCUGAUUAAUGAACAAGUUAAUUACUACUACAUUCGAUGAUGCUCGUGCUGAAUUGCCUAAUAUCUCUCUCUCUCUCGUGCGCGUUAGUUAAGGCAGUGGGGACCGAUUCUUACUAAUUCGACCACAAUCUCUCCACUCAUUCUGUUCGGCAGGAUGGAAUUUGUGCGACACAACAUGAAUGCCCUGUUUUGCUUCGUAUGGUUCACAGAAAGCAAGCGAAGAGGCUCAAGGAGCGAACGAAGCAGGAAAUUCUCGAUCAAGACAACAUGCCAUUAGAUCCAUUGAAACCGCCUUGAGCGUUCUGCCUCGCCAAUUCUCUCCCCACACUUUUGCCUCGGUGACGGCCCUUCCUCUAUUCAUGUCCCCUGGAGAAUUGUUCUUUCCGGACACUGAGAAUUGUUCUCUCCCCACACUACCAACCGUGCGGCAAUUCAGUAGAUCAGAUGCUGCUUGAAACUAGAGUUAGAAUAUGCAGCCAAAUCCUGCUCAGAAUAGACUUACAAGAUUCGGCACAAGCAUUACAAGACAAUCCUCCUCUUCCUUUGGAUUCUCUUAUCUAUUGUGAAGAUUACACGAAUAGGAAGGAGAAACAGAAAAGAUGAAGAAACAAGCUUGACAAAGAUGAAGACUCAAAAGAAAAGGAAAUGAUCUUGAGCUUCUGUAUUUGGUUCUCUUGCUCUUCAGAAAAAGAGAGAGAGCGAGAGAGUAAACUUUUAUAAAGUGCUUCUUAUAUUCGUUCUAUGUACAUUCCGUAUUUAUAUGCGAGAAACAAAACUUGUACAACUGUUUUAACAGAAAUGAAAACAGGAGGGAAAAUAACAGAACACGGAAAAUAUUCAGUUUUGACUUAAAACUGAAUAUCUAUUAUUCAAUGAGCACGUGUUGUUGAUGUAACUCAUGCUUUCUUUGUUCUUCUUUUCUUUAUCCUCGCAAGUAGAGUUUAGUUUAUCCUUUCCAUCCUUGAUCAAAUCAUUAGCACCAGCAUUUGUUACCGCACUUCCCAAGCCAGCAGUCUGCCUUGUCUUACUUCCCCUGUUUGCACCAGAACUUAACUCCCGUACAUCAGUAUCUAUCUUUGACUUUAAUUUGAACUUCUUUACUUCAUCUUCCUUGUUUCCAUUCAAGCUCGGCUCUUGAUCUCCAGCACUUGUUUUCGACUUUGGCUUAUAUGCUUUAACAUCCCCCCGCAAAUUGGGAAGGGGUAAAGUACCAAUUCCCAAUUUGGUACGAAUGUCAAAAUGAGCGAACCGUGAGAUAGGUUUUGUGAAAAUAUCAGCAAGCUGGUGAGCGCUUGGAAUAUAACACACAUUGAGAGAGCCAGAAGCAACCUUCUCUCGUACAAAAUGAAAGUCAACUUCGAUGUGUUUGGUGCGGGCAUGUAAAAUGGGAUUAGCAGUAAGAGCAAUAGCAGACUGAUUAUCACAAAAUAAACGAGUUGGUGAAGAAAGUGACAGACCAAUAUCAAGAAGAACAAAGAUGACCCAUGUCAGCUCAACAGUUGCAGAGGCAAGGGCACGAUAUUCUGCUUCAGUAGAAGAUCGACUUACAGUAGGCUGUUUCUUUGCUGUCCAUGAAAUGAGAUUAGAGCCAAGAAAUGUACAGAAGCCAGUUGUGGAUCUUCUAGUCUCUGUGCAACCAGCCCAGUCUGCAUCUGAAAAACCAUAGAGUUGUUUGGAACUUCGAGAGUGGAGAAAAAUACCACAGCUGAUAGUUCCUUUAACAUAACGCAGAACCCUCUUUAGGUUAUUAAAGUCUGCAAUAGUUUGUUGCUUCAUUUUCUGGCAUAACAUGUUUGUAGCAUAGGCAAUAUCAGGACGAGUCAAUGUUAGAUAUUGAAGACCACCAACAAGACUUCGAUAUUCAAGAGGAUUAGGAAUGGAAUCGGAUUGCAGGAUAUAUGGUCUCUGAGAUAGUGGAGUAGAGAUUGGUUUACAAUCAAUCAUUUGAGCUCGAGUAAGAAGAUCGAUUGCAUAUUUGGUUUGACAGAGAAACAGAUCAGUAGAGUUGCGUUUAGCUUCAAUGCCAAGGAAGUAGUGAAGAUAUCCUAGAUCUUUCAUGUGAAACUGAAGGCUUAGAGAAUGAAUUAAACUCGAAAGUAAUGAGGGUGAGCUCCCAGUUAAGACAAUAUCAUCCACAUACAGUAAGAGAAGUACAGUGUCUUGUCCAUUACGAAGAAUAAACAGAGAGGGAUCAGUGGAGCUGCAGACAAAACCAUUUUCAAGUAAGAAGGUACUAAACUUAUCAAACCAUGCACGAGGAGCUUGUCGAAGACCAUAAAGAGAUUUCUUGAGAAGGCACACAUGAUUAGGUGUUUGUGACUGUAUGAAACCAGGGGGCUGCUCCAUGUAAACUGUUUCAGUCAAUGUGCCAUGUAGGAAUGCGUUCUUGACAUCAAGUUGAUGAAUAGGCCAUUGAUUCAUCAUGGCUACAGAUAGAACUAACCGAAUUGUAGCAUGUUUGACAACUGGGCUGAAAGUUUCAGUAAAAUCUACACCUUCUUCUUGGUGGAACCCUUUAGCUACAAGACGAGCUUUUAACCUAUCAAGACUUCCAUCAGAUGCCAAUUUGGUUUAAACACCCAUUUGCAGCCUAUCACAUUUAUGUCAGUUGUUCGAGGAAUUAAAAUCCAGGUAUGAUUCUGAUGUAAAGCAUCCAUCUCUUCUUCAUAGCUGUGUACCANNNNNNNNNNNNNNNNNNNNNNNNNNNNNNNNNNNNNNNNNNNNNNNNNNNNNNNNNNNNNNNNNNNNNNNNNNNNNNNNNNNNNNNNNNNNNNNNNNNNNNNNNNNNNNNNNNNNNNNNNNNNNNNNNNNNNNNNNNNNNNNNNNNNNNNNNNNNNNNNNNNNNNNNNNNNNNNNNNNNNNNNNNNNNNNNNNNNNNNNNNNNNNNNNNNNNNNNNNNNNNNNNNNNNNNNNNNNNNNNNNNNNNNNNNNNNNNNNNNNNNNNNNNNNNNNNNNNNNNNNNNNNNNNNNNNNNNNNNNNNNNNNNNNNNNNNNNNNNNNNNNNNNNNNNNNNNNNNNNNNNNNNAUUAUUAUGCAGUUGUUGUAUAGAAUCUUGUGUCGAUGAAGAGAUAUCAUUUCGGCCUACUGGAUCCAUAAACUUUACCUCUUCUGUCCAUAGUCGAUAUAGUGUUGUAUAGGAUGUGUUCUCUGUCACACGGGUCUUAGUGAAAGGAAAGAACCUUUCAUCAAAGAUAACAUGCCUACUGAUGUAUAUUUGACCAGUAGUAGGAACAAGACAUCUGUAUCCUUUGUGACGUUCGCUAUACCCAAUGAAUAUACAGGUAAGAGACCGUGGAUCUAGCUUGUGUUGAGCAUAGGGUCUGAGACAAGGAAAACAAGCACAGCCGAAGACUCUGAGAUGAUCAUAGCUCGGUUCUUUCUGAUAGAGUCUACUAUAUGGUGAUUGCAUCUGUAGCUUUGGUGUAGGAAGCAUAUUGAUGAUAUAAAUGGCUGUUAGGAAAGCAUCAACCCAAUAUUUUAAAGGAACUUCAGCAUGAUAGAGCAUAGCUAGACCUAACUCAACAACAUGGCGAUGUUUUCUUUCAGAAACACCAUUCUGUUCUGGUGUAUGAGGACAGGACACUUGUUGUUUAAUGCCAUGGCUAUGUAAAUGUGUCUGAAACUUGUGACUAACAAAUUCACCUCCACCAUCACAUUGGAAGGUCUUGAUUUGCAGUCAAGUUGAUUUUCGACCUGUUUCUGAAACAGAAUAAAGAUGUCAUAGAAGUCUGCUUUUGCUCUCAUCGGGUAAAUCCAGCUGAACCGAGAAAAAUCAUCUACAAGAAUGACAUAAUACUUGAAGUUUUGAAAUGAAAUGACUGGUGAAGGUCCCCAGAUAUCGCAGUGCACCUUUUCUAAAGGUGUAGAUGUUACAGAUUCAGACAAUGGAAAUGAUAGAGCAGUAUGUUUGGCAAUUUGACAACUUCGACAUAUAUUCUGUAUUCGAGUGUUACAGUAAAUGUGAUGUUGAUUUUGCAGGUACUGCAGUGUUUUCAGAUUGGUGUGAGCUAAACGUUGAUGCCAUAGAUCUUCUCCUAGAGCUCUGUGUCUCUGAGUUAGAAAUGCUUCUGUGGUGUGAGAAUCAACUCGGUACAAUCCUUUAACCUUCCUUCCAAGCAGCAGAGUUGUGUUGGUGUAAUUGUCCUUAAUGUAUACACCAGUUUUAUCAAAAAACGAAGGAACAUGGAUAAUCAUCCGUUAGUUUCGAUACAGAUAGAAGAUUCUUCUUUAUAUCAGGAACAAUUAACACAUCAUUCAGAGGUAAUGAAUCCACUUUAGUAUGCAACAAUGUAUCACCAGUAUAAAUGAUAGGCAAGCAUGAUCCGUUUCCAAUCAUCACUGUAUCAGUUCCAUGGUAUCUAGAAGGAUUAUGAAGAAUACCAGAGUUGGCUGUAAUAUGAGCUGUUGCACCCGUGUCUGGAUACCACUCAUUUCCACUUGAAUCUUCGAUGUGUAGGGCUGCUAAGGCUGUUGGAACUUCCUCUGCUUGGUAUGAAUUAUCGAAACGAUACCAGCAGUGAAGUGCAUCAUGACCUGGUCUUCUGCAGAUUUGACACUCCAGUCGAGUGUUUUCUUUUGGUUUCUCCAUCUGAUACCAUGUGAAGAUUACACGAACAGGAAGGAGAAACAGAGAAGAUGAAGAAACAAGCUUGACAAAGAUGAAGACUCAAAAGAAAAGGAAAUCCCAAAGCAGAGGAGGUAUUNNNNNNNNNNNNNNNNNNNNNNNNNNNNNNNNNNNNNNNNNNNNNNNNNNNNNNNNNNNNNNNNNNNNNNNNNNNNNNNNNNNNNNNNNNNNNNNNNNNNNNNNNNNNNNNNNNNNNNNNNNUUCUUCCUCCUCGACUAUAUCCUCUUGUACUUCCAAGACUACUAUUUGCUAUACAAAAUCUUUGUUAACCUCCUCUUUGUGUAUAGCUUCAUUCUUCCUUUGGCCAUAGUAUGCUAAAUUUGGAUUGACCUGACUCGAGGAGUAGUUUUGUAGCCUUGUUUCAAAUCUCUCCAAAUGUGAAAUUACUUCAUCAUAUUCAGGUUGUGGCUUUAAACAAUAGAUUGUUGUUUUAAAGCUUUCAUACUCAGACCCUAGACCUUCCAAAAUACCGAACAGUUUUGUUAGCUCAUCCACUGGUUUCCCUAUUGCAUUCAACUGAUCACAUACAGACUUAAACUCUCUGAGAUAUGUUGAUAAAGAUCUAUCACGUUUCUGACAGGCUUGUAAUUUUCCCCUUAACUCAAACUCCUUUGCCACAGAUUUUUGAGUAAACCGAUUGAGCAAGGUCUGCCAUAGUUCAUAUGCUGUAUUUAGGCCAAUUAUUAGACUGAGUAUGUUUUCGGAGACAGCACCACUAAUCCAGGAGGACACUAACUGAUCUGUCUUGAUCCAAUCAUUAUAAUCUGGAUUAGGGAUCUCAAUUGUUUGAUUUCCUUCUUCGACCUGCAGUGUUUUAGCAGGUGAUAGAACUUCUCCAUUAACAAACCCAAACAAGUCUUGACUCCUUAAGAAUCUAUGAAACUGAUCUUGCCAUAUAAGGAAAUUUUCCUCAGUUAGCUUGAUGGUAACGAAAUUCGAGAUAUUGACAUGAAUAGGGAAUGGAUAUUUCAAGCUUCUUGCCUCGGUGACGGCCCUUCCUCUCUUCAAACAGUUCUGUUUAUAAAUUCUUUCCGGACACUGAGAAUUGUUCUCUCCCCACACUACCAACCGUGCGGCAAUUCAGUAGAUCAGAUGCUGCUUGAAACUAGAGUUAGAAUAUGCAGCCAAAUCCUGCUCAGAAUAGACUUACAAGAUUCGGCACAAGCAUUACAAGACAAUCCUCCUCUUCCUUUGGAUUCUCUUAUCUAUUGUGAAGAUUACACGAAUAGGAAGGAGAAACAGAAAAGAUGAAGAAACAAGCUUGACAAAGAUGAAGACUCAAAAGAAAAGGAAAUGAUCUUGAGCUUCUGUAUUUGGUUCUCUUGCUCUUCAGAAAAAGAGAGAGAGCGAGAGAGUAAACUUUUAUAAAGUGCUUCUUAUAUUCGUUCUAUGUACAUUCCGUAUUUAUAUGCGAGAAACAAAACUUGUACAACUGUUUUAACAGAAAUGAAAACAGGAGGGAAAAUAACAGAACACGGAAAAUAUUCAGUUUUGACUUAAAACUGAAUAUCUAUUAUUCAAUGAGCACGUGUUGUUGAUGUAACUCAUGCUUUCUUUGUUCUUCUUUUCUUUAUCCUCGCAAGUAGAGUUUAGUUUAUCCUUUCCAUCCUUGAUCAAAUCAUUAGCACCAGCAUUUGUUACCGCACUUCCCAAGCCAGCAGUCUGCCUUGUCUUACUUCCCCUGUUUGCACCAGAACUUAACUCCCGUACAUCAGUAUCUAUCUUUGACUUUAAUUUGAACUUCUUUACUUCAUCUUCCUUGUUUCCAUUCAAGCUCGGCUCUUGAUCUCCAGCACUUGUUUUCGACUUUGGCUUAUAUGCUUUAACAUCCCCCCGCAAAUUGGGAAGGGGUAAAGUACCAAUUCCCAAUUUGGUACGAAUGUCAAAAUGAGCGAACCGUGAGAUAGGUUUUGUGAAAAUAUCAGCAAGCUGGUGAGCGCUUGGAAUAUAACACACAUUGAGAGAGCCAGAAGCAACCUUCUCUCGUACAAAAUGAAAGUCAACUUCGAUGUGUUUGGUGCGGGCAUGUAAAAUGGGAUUAGCAGUAAGAGCAAUAGCAGACUGAUUAUCACAAAAUAAACGAGUUGGUGAAGAAAGUGACAGACCAAUAUCAAGAAGAACAAAGAUGACCCAUGUCAGCUCAACAGUUGCAGAGGCAAGGGCACGAUAUUCUGCUUCAGUAGAAGAUCGACUUACAGUAGGCUGUUUCUUUGCUGUCCAUGAAAUGAGAUUAGAGCCAAGAAAUGUACAGAAGCCAGUUGUGGAUCUUCUAGUCUCUGUGCAACCAGCCCAGUCUGCAUCUGAAAAACCAUAGAGUUGUUUGGAACUUCGAGAGUGGAGAAAAAUACCACAGCUGAUAGUUCCUUUAACAUAACGCAGAACCCUCUUUAGGUUAUUAAAGUCUGCAAUAGUUUGUUGCUUCAUUUUCUGGCAUAACAUGUUUGUAGCAUAGGCAAUAUCAGGACGAGUCAAUGUUAGAUAUUGAAGACCACCAACAAGACUUCGAUAUUCAAGAGGAUUAGGAAUGGAAUCGGAUUGCAGGAUAUAUGGUCUCUGAGAUAGUGGAGUAGAGAUUGGUUUACAAUCAAUCAUUUGAGCUCGAGUAAGAAGAUCGAUUGCAUAUUUGGUUUGACAGAGAAACAGAUCAGUAGAGUUGCGUUUAGCUUCAAUGCCAAGGAAGUAGUGAAGAUAUCCUAGAUCUUUCAUGUGAAACUGAAGGCUUAGAGAAUGAAUUAAACUCGAAAGUAAUGAGGGUGAGCUCCCAGUUAAGACAAUAUCAUCCACAUACAGUAAGAGAAGUACAGUGUCUUGUCCAUUACGAAGAAUAAACAGAGAGGGAUCAGUGGAGCUGCAGACAAAACCAUUUUCAAGUAAGAAGGUACUAAACUUAUCAAACCAUGCACGAGGAGCUUGUCGAAGACCAUAAAGAGAUUUCUUGAGAAGGCACACAUGAUUAGGUGUUUGUGACUGUAUGAAACCAGGGGGCUGCUCCAUGUAAACUGUUUCAGUCAAUGUGCCAUGUAGGAAUGCGUUCUUGACAUCAAGUUGAUGAAUAGGCCAUUGAUUCAUCAUGGCUACAGAUAGAACUAACCGAAUUGUAGCAUGUUUGACAACUGGGCUGAAAGUUUCAGUAAAAUCUACACCUUCUUCUUGGUGGAACCCUUUAGCUACAAGACGAGCUUUUAACCUAUCAAGACUUCCAUCAGAUGCCAAUUUGGUUUAAACACCCAUUUGCAGCCUAUCACAUUUAUGUCAGUUGUUCGAGGAAUUAAAAUCCAGGUAUGAUUCUGAUGUAAAGCAUCCAUCUCUUCUUUCAUAGCUGUGUACCAUCCUUGAUUAGCUAAAGCUAACUUAACUGAUCUAGGUUCAGCAGGGACUUUGUAUUCAGCAAGACAAGCAUAUUUAGGAUUAGUUUUGAUAAUUCCAGAUUUUGACCGAGUCUGCAUAUGGUGAGAUGUAGGUGUACCGUGUGAAGUAGAAGUAGUAGGAGCAUGGUUGCUAUUGUUUCCACCGAAGUGAACAGCUGCAGGAUGAGUUAUAGUGCUAGAUAUUUCCUGAUCUUGUGAACAGCAAUGAUCCUGAUGAGUAGGAACUUCAGCCUGUGUUGUUGUAAGGGAAGUAAGGUUGUCCUGUUCUUCAGGAGGCAAAUAGGAUGAAGUAGAAUGAUUGAUGCCAUUAUUAUGCAGUUGUUGUAUAGAAUCUUGUGUCGAUGAAGAGAUAUCAUUUCGGCCUACUGGAUCCAUAAACUUUACCUCUUCUGUCCAUAGUCGAUAUAGUGUUGUAUAGGAUGUGUUCUCUGUCACACAGGUCUUAGUGAAAGGAAAGAACCUUUCAUCAAAGAUAACAUGCCUACUGAUGUAUAUUCGACCAGUAGUAGGAACAAGACAUCUGUAUCCUUUGUGACGUUCGCUAUACCCAAUGAAUAUACAGAUAAGAGACCGUGGAUCUAGCUUGUGUUGAGCAUAGGGUCUGAGACAAGGAAAACAAGCACAGCCGAAGACUCUGAGAUGAUCAUAGCUCGGUUCUUUCUGAUAGAGUCUACUAUAUGGUGAUUGCAUCUGUAGCUUUGGUGUAGGAAGCAUAUUGAUCAUAUAAAUGGCUGUUAGGAAAGCAUCAACCCAAUAUUUUAAAGGAACUUCAGCAUGAUAGAGCAUAGCUAGACCUAACUCAACAACAUGGCGAUGCUUUCUUUCAGAAACACCAUUUUGUUCUGGUGUAUGAGGACAGGACACUUGUUGUUUAAUGCCAUGGCUAUGUAAAUGUGUCUGAAACUUGUGACUAACAAAUUCACCUCCACCAUCACAUUGGAAGGUCUUGAUAGAAGUCUGCUUUUGCUCUCAUCGGGUAAAUCCAGCUGAACCGAGAAAAAUCAUCUACAAGAAUGACAUAAUACUUGAAGUUUUGAAAUGAAAUGACUGGUGAAGGUCCCCAGAUAUCGCAGUGCACCUUUUCUAAAGGUGUAGAUGUUACAGAUUCAGACAAUGGAAAUGGUAGAGCAGUAUGUUUUGCAAUUUGACAACUUCGACAUAUAUUCUGUAUUCGAGUGUUACAGUAAAUGUGUUGUUGAUUUUGCAAGUACUGUAGUGUUUUCAGAUUGGUGUGAGCUAAACGUUGAUGCCAUAGAUCUUCUCCUAGAGCUCUGUGUCUCUGAGUUAGAAAUGCUUCUGUGGUGUGAGAAUCAACUCGGUACAAUCCUUUAACCUUCCUUCCAAGCAGCAGAGUUGUGUUGGUGUAAUUGUCCUUAAUGUAUACACCAGUUUUAUCAAAAAACGAAGGAACAUGGAUAAUCAUCCGUUAGUUUCGAUACAGAUAGAAGAUUCUUCUUUAUAUCAGGAACAAUUAACACAUCAUUCAGAGGUAAUGAAUCCACUUUAGUAUGCAACAAUGUAUCACCAGUAUAAAUGAUAGGCAAGCAUGAUCCGUUUCCAAUCAUCACUGUAUCAGUUCCAUGGUAUCUAGAAGGAUUAUGAAGAAUACCAGAGUUGGCUGUAAUAUGAGCUGUUGCACCCGUGUCUGGAUACCACUCAUUUCCACUUGAAUCUUCGAUGUGUAGGGCUGCUAAGGCUGUUGGAACUUCCUCUGCUUGGUAUGAAUUAUCGAAACGAUACCAGCAGUGAAGUGCAUCAUGACCUGGUCUUCUGCAGAUUUGACACUCCAGUCGAGUGUUUUCUUUUGGUUUCUCCAUCUGAUACCAUGUGAAGAUUACACGAACAGGAAGGAGAAACAGAGAAGAUGAAGAAACAAGCUUGACAAAGAUGAAGACUCAAAAGAAAAGGAAAUGAUCUUGAGCUUCUGUAUUUGGUUCUCUUGCUCUUCAGAAAAAGAGAGAGAGCGAGAGAGUAAACUUUUAUAAAGUGCUUCUUAUAUUCGUUCUAUGUACAUUCCGUAUUUAUAUGCGAGAAACAAAACUUGUACAACUGUUUUAACAGAAAUGAAAACAGAAGGAGGGAAAAUAACAGAACACGGAAAAUAUUCAGUUUUGACUUAAAACUGAAUAUCUAUUAUUCAAUGAGCACGUGUUGUUGAUGUAACUCAUGCUUUCUUUGUUCUUCUUUUCUUUAUCCUCGCAAGUAGAGUUGAGUUUAUCGUUUCCAUCCUUGAUCGAAUCAUUAGCACCAGCAUUUGUUACUGCACUUCCCAAGCCAGCAGUCUGCCUUGUCUUACUUCCCCUGUUUGCACCAGAACUUAACUCCCGUACAUCAGUAUCUAUCUUUGACUUUAAUUUGAACUUCUUUACUUCAUCUUCCUUGUUUCCAUUCAAGCUCGGCUCUUGAUCUCCAGCACUUGUUUUCGACUUUGGCUUAUAUGCUUUAACAUCUAUAAUGCUGUUCUAGCAAUGAUGUACACCCAACUCCCUCUUUCUCCAAAUUUCAAGAAAGUAUAAACAGAGAAUGGAGAGAUUAGACCCCAAAAAGAGCCGAGUUAAGAGUAGCAGGGACCAAGUCCUCCUAAUUCGACCACAAUCUCUCCGCUCAUUUCCCUUCGACAAAAUGGGAUAUGCAUGACACGAAGUGAAUGCCCUGCGUUUGCUUCGUAUAAGUUCACAGAAAGCAACCCAAGGGGAGGCUUAAGGAGGAAACGAAGCGAGAAACUGUCGAUCAAGACAACCGGCCAUUAGAUCCAUCGAAACUGCCUUGAGUGCUCUGCUGUAUUUUCUCUCGCCAAUUCUCUCCCCACAUCUUUGCCUCCGCGACAGCCCUUUCUCUAUUCAAGUUCCUAUUUAACAACUUACCGUCCUCCUCGAAAGAUUUACCAAUGCAAGAAACUUUUCUAGUCCCCAAUCCAAUAUAUAGUAUUACCCGAAACGAGAACUUUUUAUUUUCCACCUGCAACUUGCUGUUGUCUAUUUCUACAAGGAUAUACUCAAUGAUGCGAUGACCUCGAUAGGCAAGAUUUUUUCCCCACGCCCUCGUUUAGCAACAAAAAAUGCGCAUCGGCGGUCUGCAUUGGAGGGUAAUUAGCAAUUUAACAAAGAAAAACAAUGACCCAGCAUCUACAGUAUACUAUCCUAUGCAUGGUUUAUCCCAAACCGAUAAAAGUUCCAAGUGAAGGACAAAUACACCCAUCGUACAUACAAAUAGAGCAAAAAAUACAGGUGUUUCGAUUAGCCUUGAAGAAAUGGAUAAGUGGAGCCCUUCUAAUCUAAAUGGUAACUCUAUCCUUCAUCACACUGAGAGGGUGUCAAGAGAGUCUAAAAUUGGUAAACUCAAGACGAUCGAUGUGAACUAAACCAAAAAUUUAGCUAUUCGGUUUAUCAAUUUGGGUUUGGUUUAACCAAGCAAUUCAACCAUAUCCAACUUCAAUCUCGAUUUGCUUAUUCUCAAAACUGCUAAAUUAGACUGCUAUACCAAAAAGAAAAAAAGUAGAUGCCUUAAAAGAGCCAAAGUCGAUUUGGUGUAUCUAAUAUAACUCCAAUAAUCUUGGCACCAGUGGGUUCAAACUCUAUGAAUGAAGAGCAUGGUCUGCUCACCACUGCCAGGGUUUAUUGUGAAAUAGGAAAAAAUCGAGAUAAGAUUGUGAACCUUCCACACUUUGAUAAUUUGAAGCCAUACUAAUUGUUCUCCCAUAGUUUCUCUUGUUUCGCUACAAAAUCAAGAAAUGCCUCCUUUGGCUCCCAGCAUCUGAGUCAUGACCAUCUUGCCAAUGCCUAAUCCUUAUUGCCACAAUCUUUUCAUUUGAAUUGUGAUCACAUACUAAUCCCACCCAGCUUUACAAGAUAAUUAAUUUCAACCACUCAAACAGGUCUCAAAUUCGUUUUGAUGUGAAAUCGUUGCGGAAAGAUCAUUCUACGAAGGCUCAGAUGGUGCGAAUUACGAACCUCGACCUCCAAUCGAACCUGUGAUUGACAAUCUCGGUAUGAACGUGAUAUGUUGACGAAUGCGUGUCAACCAACCAACAUUAUCGACACCAUGAGCGAAAAAAUUCGCUAUUUCGCUCGAUAAGUCGAAUCGACCAUCAGGUUAAGUCCUCAAAAAAAUAGUAGAAGAGAACCUCUUAAUUCUUUUCCUCAAAAAUAAAAUAUAUCUGUCUCCCAAAAAAAGUCGGCCAAUCUUUAAUAUAGGCCAUCUAGUUGCCACACAAACUGUAAAACCAGUCCUAAAAAUCUAAUGCGUCAUAUUCCUGAAAAUAUUUAAAUAAGAAGAUAAUUUUUUUGACAAUAUUUGGAGACCAUAUAAUCAAAUUGCGCCAAGAUGAUACUUCAAAAUUCGAUCCAAGGUCAUCUCCACGCAAAAAAUUACACCAAGAUUUACAAGAUUUUUAAAGAUUUGAUCUAAGGUCAUCUCCAUGCCAAAUAUCACGAACUAUGAUGCCAACAGCUUGCCUAAAUUGCUUAGCCCGCGCUCGAGUGAUCGAUCCAGUCGGAAUAGACAAUAGGUUCCUAACACCUCCUCCUCAAUAUGGCUCAAUGUCCAUAUCACGUUUCUUAAGUAGUGUCAAGUAAGUUCUCAAUCUAAAGGUGUCCAAUCUAAUCCAAAUUGAACCCAGCAAAUUAUGUUUCUAAUAACCAAAAGUUCCAAGACUCAGCCUAACUUACAAUUCCCACGGAAAUGCUCAACCACGAAACCGGGAUCGGUCUAUAUAACUCUGAUAGGAAUAAUUCAAUGUCCUAUGCAAUGAUGACUAACGCAAUCAGUGAACGCUGCAUAUGGCAUUUCAGCAUAUGAAUUAUGUUACAGCAAAAAGAUAACUUUAUUCGCUUUGAGAAACCAAGAUACCAGAAUCUGAAACUACUUACCCUCAGCGAUGACUCUCACUCCAUCAUCCAAUUCGCGCUUCGACCCGAAAUCCCGAGAAACCAGCCCCAGCUCCUUCGCCUCCGAACCCGACACCCUCCGAACCGUCAAGGCCAGCUCCAUCGUGUUGCCGUACCCCACGAUGCUCGGCAACCUCUGCAGAGUCCCGAGGUCGGAGGUGAUCGCGCCAAGUCGAACUCCUUCACCGAGAAGAACGCGUCCUCCAUGCAGUACCUCACGUCGCACGCGGUGGCGACGUCGACGCCGCCCCCGACACAAGCCCCGUGGACGGCGGCGAUCACCGGCUUGCGGCACCGCUCGAUGGCCGUCACCGCGCGCUGCAGGUACUUGAUGUGCCGGCGGAGCCUCUCACCGGCGCGGCCGCAGUCGCCGGGUGGUGGGGAGGAGUCGAGGGCGGCGAAGUCGAUGCCGGAGUAAAAGUGGUGGCCGGCGCCAGAGAGGAUGAGGACGAGGGCGUCGGGGUUGCGGUCGAGGGAGGAGAGGGCGAGGGGGAGCUCGGCGAAGGAGUCGAGGGAGAGGGCAUUGCGGGAGGAAGGGCGGUUGAGGCGGAGGUGGAAGACAGCGGAGCCGGGGCUGGCUCGGACGAUUUCCAGGGUCUUGAAUUUCUCCAUUUUCCGGUCGAGGAAGACGAUGAAGAUCGGGAAAGGGACGAGGUUUCUCGCCUCACCUCGGAGCUGGAGAAGGAACAGGUCGCUUUGUUUGUCGGGACUGUUCUUUUUGGGCCGAGCCCAGUAGACCGUGGGCCGGUCAAUGGCUGGGCCGGAUUCAGGUCGGGUUUUUGGGUUAGACAUAUAUCUUGUGCGAAAUGCUCACUUCAAGUUAGUUAGGAGCUAUGUAGAACCGACACGGACACGUGACACGUGACACAACACGACACGACACGUCGACACGUUAUUUCUUAAAAAUAGAGAAUUUCGACACGUUCCGACACGUUAUAUAUUAGAUAUAUUUUUAUAUAUAAAUACAUAAAUAAAUAAUAAUAAAAAUAGCCUAGAAUUAAUUUACACAUAAAAAUAUUAAAUAAUAUCAUUCAUUAUUUUAAUUUGUUACAAUAAUACACAAAACUUAGAGGGAAAAAACAUUGUUUAAAGAAAAAUGCUGAAAUGAUAUUUUUAAAUUUAUUUAUUUAUCAUAUAUAGCAUUUUUUAUUAUUUCUUUCAGAGUAAAAGACUUUUAAAAAAAUAAAAAAAUUCUAAAAAAAUAAAACUGAAAAAAAAAAUUGACCCUGUGUGUGCAUAUUUAUAGCAAUUUUAUUACUUCUUUUAUUACUUCUUUUGUGUAUAUUUAUAUUUUGACCCCUCAAAUAUUAUAAAUUUUUAAAAUUGACCCCAUGCGUGUCGGAAUCGCAUGUCGAAAUUUUGGACUCGCGUGUCGGAAAGAGUUGACCAUGUGUCGGAUUUUUCGACACUCGUUGACCGCGUGUCGAAGCGUGUCGGGACGUGUCGGAGCGUGUCGGACACGUGUCGGAGUGUCGGACACGACACGAAGGCUUCCGGAGAGUGUCCAUGCUACAUAGGUUAGGAGGUACAUAACCUCGUACUUUGAGGUUUAUUUAUUUAUUUAUUUAUUUAUUUAUUUAUUUAUUUAUUGCACAUUGAGAGAAUGUUAAUAUAUACAUAACAUUAUGAUGGUAGAGAAGGCGAAUGACGAUGAUGCAUAAAUUUCGCGGGCCCUCACAAGGUCAAUUCUUAAAUUUCAUUGUUAGUAAUUCGUCAUUUCUAAUGGAGAAAAAGAAUUGUUACUUUUUAACCCCCAUGAUUGGCAUGGUUGGUUGAGGUGCCGUGGGAUUUUCAGCUUAUGAACUAGAGAGUGGAGAUCACUUGUUCGGAUCCCACAAACUUUACACAAGCUGUUUUUGAUCGAGGGUCAUUAUCCACCAAAACAAAAGAUCUAAAUUUAAUUGGUUCAUGAGAUUUCGAGAUAUUCUCAUGGAUCUCUAGGUAAUCUUUCUAUUUGCUUAAUUUAUUGAUUUAGUAUAUCAUAACAAAUUUAGUAAGGAUGCUUGAAAAGUUGGAUGAUUAGAUGCGAUUAACUCAUGCCUGGAUGACUCCAUCGAUGUCAAGAUUAUAUGAUCAGAUUGAUGGUGGUGCAUCUAACUACUACAAGAAACUCAAAUGAUAACAGAAAUAGUUAAAUCGAUCAGGGAAAUGAAAAGUGAUGAAUAUGGCUGCGAAAAAAAAUACAAAGUGCUUCUCUCAUUUUGCCGAGGCUGGCAAAGUUUCAUUGAUCCUAAAUCUAGAGUUUUGGCAAAAAAAACAAAGUCUUAAUCUUGAACAUCUUUUUGAAGAAGUUGCAAGCAAACCCUUCCCAAUAUCACUUCCUUAACUUUUCCUAUCAAUUUAAGAUUUCAAGUAAUUAUCCAUGUUAAUUAAUGUGUCACAUGUCUUUUAUCUAUGGAAAUUUAACAAGAUUUGUAUUCAUGCAGUCUUCCUUCAUUUAUAAAUCUUGAACUUUUGAAUUAAAGUUUCUAACUUUGGACUGUUACAUCUACAAUGAGCAAGUACUCAAUGAAUGUGUUAUAUGUACUAAAUUGCAUUGGGGGCCUUACAUUGAAUGAGACCUAUUGGAUCCGACGAUCAUGACCCUAAUUCAAAGCUAGUUCAAAGCAUGUUCUUGAUGGAAAAAUUAUUUAAAAAAAAGUUAUAAACGUACUAUAUAAAUGCCAAUUUAAUCUUAAAACUUUUAACUUGACCAAUUUCGUCUUACAUAAUUUGAGAUUUGUCAAUUUUGGCUAAAAACAGCUCAAAUGGACACUAGCCAUUCGAUGUGGCAUGUUGGUCAACACUAACGUGGAAAAGUAUUUUUUUUUCCCCUAAAGUUUUUGAAUUUUUUGAAUUUUUUACUUUUUUUUUUUAAUUUCCCUUUGCCAGUCUAUAGCCUCAUUGGUCGUCAUGAAUGUGUCAUCUCCGUUCGUCUUAGGUCUCCUAGGGGUAGGCAAUGAGUGAUCUUGAAUUGUUGACAAACUCUGUCCAUCAUGACACUAUCCAGGUUUGGCAUAUUAUCUAUGAUGAUUUUGUGAGGAACUCCAUAUCGAUAGAUUCUGUUGGGAUUGAAAAAUUUCACUACUCUAGCUUUUGGAAUAGCUUUGUAGGAUGCCACCACGAUCCAUCGUAACCUCAUUAGACUAGUGCCACCCAAAAAAAAAAGGGUUAGUUGGCAACCCUCGCCAACCCACAAUAAAUAAAUAAAAAAAGACACAAAAGAAAAGAAAAAAAAUGAAAAUUUAUAUAAAAAAUUGCAAAAAUUGUUCAUUUCACUUAGGACGGUUGGUGUUUACUUAAAUAAUUAUUAUUAAAAAUUAGUCGGAAUAACUACAUUAGUAAAUUAUCAAAAUAUUUAAAAUUAAAUUGAUGAAAUUAAAAUGUUUGUGAUUGAAUUAAAAUAAGUAUAAUAGAUUUAAGAAUUUUUUGAUAAAUAUCCCUAUUUUUAUCCUUAUUCACUAAUUUAAAUAUAUGUACACAUCAUCCUUCUAAGCUAACAAAACAUGCUGUGAUGCACGUUUUUAACACAUGCAAGUUGUUUUUAAUAGCUUAUUUAAGUGAACGUGAAGUUUAUAUUGAACGAAAUAACUUUUUAAAAAAAAAAAAGAGGGUUGAAAGAAGGCCCGCAGAGCAAAAACAAGGUAUAGUAAAAAACAAUUAAAGGUGGUUUUUCAAGAAAUAAUCUUAGAAAGAGGACAUUUAUUCGCUCGUAUUCUUUUGACGUUGCAAAGAAAAUCUAAAUCGACCUUCGGCCAGAUUGAAUUUUUGCAGAAAAUUUCUUUGUAUAAUGUUUUUGUUUGUGAUAACUUAUGAAUUUAUCGUGACAUUUCAUUGUUAAAAAAGGAUAAAAUUGACACUUUUUGCAAAUCUUAAUUAGGAAAAAUCAUAUUAUCCCUGUUAGAAAGUUAAACAAAAAAUAUGGAGUUAUUAGUUGGAGGGAAACAACGUGUUUAUAAAAAGCAUAUAAAACUCGUUAUCAAGCAAUGUAAGAUAUUUCAACAUCUCUCACGUGCAAGCCUAACUAGAAGUGGUACAUGGAAUUUGAUUAAUGGGGUGGACACACAAUGUGAAAGGGAUAGCACUUGCCUAUAAUACCAUGUCAAAAAAGUUCAACCCAAAUGCUUAAGUAACUAGAUGGAGUGAGACAACAAUAAAGAGUAUAUAAGACCCGCUAUCAAAUGAUGUAAGAUAUUUUGACACACCAUCUCACAUGCAAGCUAGGUUAUGAGCAGCACGUGAAAUUUGAUUAACGGGGUGAACACACACGCGAAAGGAAUAUCGCUUGACUCCGAUACCAUAUUAUAAAAUCUGACCUAAUAGUUUAAACUAUUAAGUGGAGGGAGACCAACUGCAUAUCAAAAGCAUAUAAGAUCAAUUGUUAAGACCUACAUGCAAGUGGGAUUAGGAGUAGUGCGUUGAAUUUGAUUAACGGGUGGAUAUCCCUUGAUUCUGGUACCAUGUUAAAAAGUCCACUAAAAAAACUUAAACUAUUAAGUGAAGGGAAAUCAACUGUAUAAAGAGCAGAUAAAGCUUGUUGUCAAGCGAUAUAAAAAAUCUCAAUAUUCAAUCUUAUGUGCAAGCUAGAUUAUGAGCGGCUCACACGAAAGGAAUAACAUUUGGCUCUAAUAUCACGUUAGAAAGUUCAACCAAAAUCUUAAAUUUUUAAAUAAAGGGAGAGCUUAUGUAUAGAAAGAAUAUAUAAAAUUCAUUGUUUAGCGAUGUGGACAAUUCAACAAUCCCAAAAUCUCUCAUAAAUUCUAAUUUCAUUUUAUCUUGCCCUUCUUACAUCGAAUUGAGUCCAUUUCUUAAAUAAUUCGACUCACAUGGUUCCUCUUUUUAACUAUUGAUUUUCAAGUUUUGCACCCAAUUUUUGUUCCAUUUCCAAGGGGAAUAUAUAUACAUAUACAUAUAUAUAUAUAUGGAAAAAUCCAAGUAUAUAACAAUUUUACAACAUAACUACAUCAUAUUCAUUUCUAAUUUUCUUUUCAAAACACUUAACGAUAUAUACUUUCAAAUAAUUUGUGCUUAGGAUGAGUCUAAAGUACUCUCCAGACCUUUUAUUGCAACUAGAACAAUUGCACAAUGUAUCCUAUCAGAAGCAUAAAAUUGAGACAAUUACAAAAAAAAAAAUCAUAAAUUUAUUGUACAAAUACCUAUUCAAUCGUAAUCAUUUUAAUUUGGCUAAUUUAAUCAUAAUUUUUCUUUUAUAAUUUACCAAUAUAACAAUUUCAACCAAUUUUGUAAGGGAAAUUACUAAUAUAACAGUCCAAUCAAUGCCAACUGUUCUCCAUGGAAUAGCUGGCCAUUAGUAUAGAUAAUUUUUGCAAUUAUUUUAAUUUUUUGAGUUUUUAUUUCCUUUUUCCCUAAUUUUGUUAGCUAGUUGCCCUUCCACAGAUGAGGACCAACAAAGGCUGCCUUCACUGAGGUUGCCUUAGCCAAAUUUGGACAGGCUACCCUCACCAAAGGCUGGCAAGAGCAACCUUCACUUCUGGUUGGUGGAGAAUUGUUGAGGCCCCAACAACUCGUAAAGGGAAAUAGGAAAAAUUAGAAAGAAAUAAAAUAAAAUAAAACAUGCCAAAUUUUGUUUUUAAAAUUCAAAAAAAAUUGUCCACAUCUGCACUGUUGGUGCAUUACCAACAAAAUUUGAUUGAAAAAACUAUAUUAACCAAUCAUUAAAAGUUUUGGGGCUUAAUUGGCCAAAAAAACUUAGGACUGAAUUGUCAUAUAUACAAUAAAUUUAUGACUUUUUUAUAAUUGAAUGCAUGCCCUAAGCUUCCUCAUAUCUCAUAUCUUUUUUUUAUAACUACUAAUAUCCCUAUUACUAUUACUGUGCCGAUGUGCAUAAAUUACACAACAACAUACAACAACGAGGAGUUGACUGAUUUCAAGGUAGACUGGUCCUUACCUUUGAAUUGGGAAUCAAUCUGACGGCUCUUGAUUCCAAAAAUUUGGAAACGAAAACCAAAUCAAUAAGGACCGGUUUGACCCAACGUGGCUCUUGAGAAACGGGAACAAACACAGCCGUCCACCUUUUGUUCUUUGAAUGAUUUAAAAAUAAAAAAAAGGUGGCAUGUCUUGUCCUUCGCGAAUUAAUUGUGGGACACGUUUUAGGAUGACUAAAAGUUAACAAAAAUAAAAAAUAAAAAUAAAAUUGAAAAAUAAGCCCAAAUGUGAGAUCCUACAUCAAGUAGUGGGAUUAUAUAUAUACACACACUUUAUGGUUUAUUAUAACAUAUUCAAUGUUGUUGGAUAAAAAAAAUAAAAUAAGUUGAGGUAUUCAAUAGUCUUGGUUCAGUUUGAUUCCAUCCCGAAACCACAUUAGUUCCAAUUUUAGGAAUUAGGAACCGGACCGGUUCAUACGGGAAUCGCUCAAAACUGACUUGAGUGGUGCUCGCCCUUACAAUGGCCACGUCAUUUUUUCGGCGAACUAGUAGGUGUUUUCUUCUUUUAUUGGAUAUAUUCUUAAAACUCCAAUUGCUUUCUCCAACUUGAGUUGAGGAGAUAUUAGAGAUAACUUGGGAUAUUUCUUCGAUGUAUAUUAAAGAUAAUUAGGAUAGUUUCUUUGAUUCUCAUUGUCUCUCAAGGUUAUUCAUAUAUUAUUGUAUUUGCUUUAAUUCUCCGGUUCAUGUAUCUUUUCAUAAGAACCCAUUGAAAUAUUCAAAAAUUUCACAUUUCUUAUGCGUGGGAUAAUCUAAGUUUUUCCAAAAAAAAAAAAAAAAAAAAGCAAAACCCGAAGAAGAGGAGCUUCACGUUUUCCAUAUCAAUCGGUAUGAAAUCAGUGACCAGCCCUACGCGUCUUCAUCAGUUGAUGAGAGAGAGAGAGAGAGAGAGAGAGUCUUUUAAGGAUUCUCCAGACCAGAUUGAGUCAAGGGAUCGAUGAAGAAUUAUACCUGGAAUAGUUCCCUUAAACCCCCCAUCAGAUUCACGAUAAACAUGCCCAAUAAAGCAUUAUGUGCCACGCAAGACAUGAGAUCUGAAUAAUUUGGAAUGGCCAGGUUUUGAUUUGAUCAUAUCUCCCUUCCCGUACGCAAUCCGGAUAAUCACUCCAUCUCCCUCAUUGAUUUUUGCAGGGUCUGGUGACGCAAAAGGGGCCCUUCCUUACUGUCAACAUCUCUCCCUAAUUUAAGCAGAAAUUUUGCCAUUUCCCGCUCCUUCCAUUACCCCGUGAGAUUAUCAUGUAGCUUUUGUAAUAUCGCCAAAAUAACUUAACAUACACUCAUUGAUUUCCUAAACAAGUGCAUUCCUAGUCAUCAUCAAUAAUUAGCAAAGUACAAAGGUCCGGUGAAACUUUGCCGGCACAUAAAAUUAGAGGUGAUAAUUCCUGACAUAACAUGAGAAAACGACUUAGAUGCAACAUAAAUUUAUCAAUGAGAAAUUGGAAUUUGGUGUGAUGCGGCUUAACUCAAAACCGACAUAACAUGACACUUUGAAAGUAAAUUGAAGAUUUUUUUAUUAUUGACAUGGAAGGACACGAGUGGUUCACACGGACACAUAACACAAGAAUAUGAAUUGCCAGCCCUACGUGUCAUGGGAGGUAACCAUUACAUGAUUUUGUUGUUUUUAUACCUGUAAAGCUUUCGACCAAAAGAAAAAUAAAAACCUAUAAAGGUGGGGCACAUGCGGGGAAAUUUAAGGAAUCAACGUGGCUAGAUUCGAUUCAGGAUGCAUUUCGGAGGAAGACAUACGAUAAGUUCCGACUUUCAAAAGUUCAGAAUCAGCGAGCACAUGCUCGACUUUGGGAUGUACCUUGCAUCCUCUACCCCGAAAAGUGUUGUACCUUCUACAUGGACACCUGGUAGAUUGCAAAAUAUUUUUAAAAAGCACAUUAUUUGUAAAAUAAACUGUACCUAAGCUUUGUGAUUUUAUAUCUCUUACUAGACUCGAGAGAUUGUAUUAUUAUAUUAAAGACGUUGAUUUUUCUACACGUUAUUAGCACAACGUUGUUACAUUUUAUGAUGACUUUGUAUUAGUAUUGAUAUGGACAUGCAUUCUCCAUUGGGCAAUGUGAAGAAAGUUAUCACCCUUAAACAGCUAAAUGGGGUUUCCCUCUCUCCUUGCCAAUCAUGGCAAUAUGAUGAGCAAGGCCACUUAUUCUAGGUUUCCUAUGAUUGAAAGCCUUCAAGGGAUUGGGUUACGUUUACACAUUUGUGCGCUUGAACUCACUCGAUAUCAAUUAUGGUUUUGGGACAAACUACAUCAAAUCACAAAACGAUUGCCAAGUGUUCGAUCUUCUGCUUGUUCCGGAUCCACCCCAACAUUGCACCAUGUUCUGAUUGAAUGUUUAAUCAUUAGAUUUUAAUAGUUUUCGUUAGUAAAACGUCACCCUUCAUGGGGCCUCUCAUUCGACACGUAACUUAAGUUUCCUAGAGUCCCUUUCACACAUUAUUUGCAAACAAUAAUGGAAGUUCGCAUCCAUCAGAAGUCAUGCUAUCAUCUUGCCAUUUACACAGCAAAAGCCACCGUAAUUAGGGAAGCUAGAACUUGAAAACUUUUAGUCCAUAUUCACUAGUCGAAUGCAAUAAUAGUAUCGUACCAUAUGAUCAAUCACUUCACAGCUCACCAACUUUUCCAUCGCCGAAAAACCGCAUUGAAACCGGACUACUUUUGGGGGUGACACUCGGUUCGGAAAUUCCGUGAAAGUGCUGAGGUUUUCGUGUCCUCGCGUCCGGAACUAUAUUGAAGCUUCACACGAUUUGGUAGGAGGACACAAUAAGCAAGCGCAUCAGCUCACGUUUCGCAAAACCACCGCGUUUGUGAAAAUCCUCUUGUUGUCAACGCGAUGCGUACGCCAAACAACCGCACGAUAUGGUAAAAGAAGGAGAAACACAGGAGUGAAUGAAUGUUGCAUGUGAAAAAAUCUUAUCUCGACCCUCCUCCACCACCUGGCAAAUCCCGAAACCACUUCCCGAGUUCCAACCAUCCAUGCAUGCGAGCCCCAACAACCUCAUUCAUCGCCCAACCAAGAAACAUAAAUGCGCAAAAAGAACCCAUCAUUUUGUUCUGUACAUGGUCAUCACCCUUCUCGUCCUAUCGUGCCUCACGCAACCGCAAGGCGCAUGUGCACGAGGCUUCAAGAACGAAAAAGCCAAAGCGGGGAGAUGCCAUGAACGCGCACGCACGAAACCUCUAGAGCUCUUCCACAUGAAGGGCGCGCAAAGAAGAGCGCUACGAGACAAACAAUUACCAUUAUAAAACAAUAAUACUAGAGAGAGAAGGGAGGAGGGCUAAAUUAGGGCCGAGCCAGCAAGGCGUGUUUGGCUCGGGGUUUUUGAGUGCGGGGGGGAGUCAGCAAGCAGUGUUGGUUCGGGGUUUUUGAAUUGCGGGGGGAAGGAGAAAGAAAACGGCUAAAAGACAAUGAAAAAAUCGCGGAACCAAAGUGUAAUUUUCGGAGAGGUCACGUGAACGAAGCAUCAGCUGCAUUACGCGGAGGACAGCUUUGCGGUGGGGGAGUAACGUAACAAUGCUUCGCGCACCGAUCACCACUCUCGCCCGGGGGCGCGUGGCGCCUCCCCCGCGCCGCCCCAGAGGGCCUCCGCCUCGCGGCGGGGGAAAUCGAAAUAUAAUUGAGGGGAGGUACGGCCGGUCGCGUCCGCACGACUUUCGACCCCGACAUUCGUGGCCAAGGAGCUGUACGGGCACGCGAGGAGGGAGGCACGUGGGGCGACGAGGAGGAGGAGGAGGGAAGGAGGGGCUGGUGCUGCUGCGGAGAGAAUGAUUUUGUGGUACGCUACCUACUAGUCCUCCACUUGUCAUGCGAGCACUAUGAAUUCAAUACGCAUAUUCUCUCUCUCUCUCUCUCUCUCUCUCUCUCUCUGUGGCGCGCAUACACGCACACACGGCAACCCCCAUUUUUCUCCUGUGCCUAGUGGAAUGCAAUAUUGUGUGUGUGUGUGUGUGUAUAAAGCCGAGCCAUCCCUCGGAUGGUUUUCAUCGAAAGUUAGAGAGAGUCUCGGAGGAGAGGGAGGGAGAGAGAGAGAGAGAGAGAGAGAGAGAGAGAGCCAGGGUUUCUCUCCAAACCCUGCUUUCUUUUCUUGGUCUUUGCCUUGGAGAGAAGAGAGGAUAUCUCACGGUCGGAGGUGGAAAAUGGACUUCCUUGCUCACUACCAUCUCUGGAUCUUCGCUUUUGGUAUCCUAGGUAAAGAAGGAAGAAACCAGAAGCUCUUCGCCCUUCAUCUCCAUGUGCUUCUUCUUCUUCGCAAUAAUGCUGCUUGCUUGCGCCAUUUCCUUUCAUCCCAUCCAUCUUCAUAUGGUCUACAUGCGUUUAUUUUUUUUCCGCUUGAUGAAUCGUUCGUAUUAGUAUCUUUAGGAUGAUGGUUAGCAGGUCAUUCUCUUCUUUUCUUCUUCUUUUCGUUUGGCAACUCUCCCUUCCAAAACCUCAUUCUUUCUCUUUCUAUCAUUUGCAAAACACACGUGAAGCAACAACCAAAAUCACAAAGAAAAUGAGAAAUUUUUUCCCGGUGCACUAAUCUUGACACCACUCUUCACAUGGAGUUUUUCUCUCUUUUGAUGAUACAAACCCCGCUCGAAAUCAAACUUCCAGCAACCUUUUCAGUCUUUUGGACUUUUGCCAACUUUUUCACAACCCUUUUGGCCAUUUCCUCCGACGAUUUUUGUUUUCACUCUAGCGCACUUUUAGAAUUAGCUUUAAAUGCUGAAGCCAAUACGCUAGUGUCCAUCGUAAACUUAUGGGUCCGUCUUCAAGUUGUUGCAACUAACGUGGGAUUUAUAUUGUCUUAAGUCGAUGUGCAUUUCGUGGGAAUUCAUUCUUUUCAUCUUUUGGCUAUAUCAUAUGUAUACAAAGGUUAUACAACGACAUGUAACAUGAUUUAGUUCGAGUUCUGUUCAACCAUGCCGUAUGUGCUUCGCACUUAGAUUAGUAAAUGACUAAUGUUGCUUUUCUUCUUCUUUAAUUUUAACCCUAUCAAAAAGAGCAUUUUCAUCUGCACCGCGCUUGCACGGAAUAAUCUAACGUUUGUGCUUUUCUUCUGCAAUCGAUGAUAGGAAACAUUGUCUCGUUCUUCGUCUUCUUGGCUCCAGUGUAAGUAAUCAUUUUUUUUUCUUUGAAGUUCUUUACCUUCAUCGGGAUGAAGAUAGUCUUAUUUUAUUUGAUCCCGAUACAAUAACUACUGAUUCUUUUUCUCUUCUCCUGUUGCAGGCCGACAUUUUACAGAAUCUGCAGGAACAAAUCGACUGAAGAAUUCCAAUCGAUACCAUAUUUGGUCGCUCUAUUCAGCUCCAUGCUCUGGCUUUACUACGCAUUCCUCAAAGGACACUCCUUCCUUCUCAUCACCAUUAACUCCUUUGGAUGUGUCAUAGAGAUGGUGUACAUUGCCAUCUACAUUGCUUAUGCGCUAAGAGCUGCUAGGGUACGUAUUGAUCAUUAGACGAUGCAACACUCAUAUUUCGAUCACAAUGAACCAAUAAGCUUCCUAGGAAACUUUCUUUGGGGAUUCACGUGAUCUAUACAAUGAAAGGAAAUACGUUUGACAAAAAAAGAACUGAAAUUUUAGGAACACAAUAAAUCCCAUUAGUAGUUUAGGACUGAGUGUUUUAACCGAACGUGUUUUGCACUAUCCAUCCUUGCCAUCUAAAAGCUCUCUUUUUCCCCUAUAUCUCUAACUAUCUUGUGUUUGUUCUGACUUAAUGAUUUUGAUUAUUGUAGAACUCCACGAUCAAGCUCUUUGCUCUGAUGAACAUGGGAUUGUUCUCUCUCCUAAUUCUCAUCACGCAUUUCAUUCCGAACAAUGAUGCACGCGCCACGGUGUUCGGAUGGAUCUGCACGACAAUUUCCGUGAGCGUCUUCGCAGCGCCGUUAAGUAUUGUGGUGCGCACUUAAAAAAUCCAAUUUCUCACUUCCCAAAUUCUCAUAUCUAACCACGGAAAACGCAUUUUAAUCUUCUCUCUUUCUUUUUUUUCCCUAUUCUGGUCUUCUUAGGCACGAGUUGUGCGAACGAAGAGCGUGGAGUUCAUGCCCUUCUCUCUGUCGUUCUUUCUAACUUUGAGCGCCAUCAUGUGGUUCGGCUACGGUUUCUUCCAAAAGGACUGGUGCAUUAUGGUAAGGGAUCCCCAUUUUCGAAAAAUUAAAUUAACGAUCGUUAAGGAUCACUUUACUUUGCAUUUUAACUGUAUGUUUUGUCGUAAUGUGCAUUGGGGUAGUGUAGGUCCAUAUAUUUGUUCAGCAUCACUUUUGGGUUCGGCUAAAUUUGCUAUAUAACAUGUUGCGUUGGCACGUCAUUAAUGGGCUAAUAAGACUAAUUAAAUUUUCAAGAAAAGCUAAUAAGAGCAUAUGCGGGUCCCAUGUCCAUAGACUUCUGUAUACAUUUUGUGUGAUUAGACUUUACUCUUCAAGUUGUUCGGGUAGGAUGAAUUUACGUAAUUAUUUAGCAUGGUAAUAAUUUUCGGUUUCUUUUUCUUCAUAUUAUACCAUUAUGUCAUUUCUUGCAUUGAGUUCAUAAUAUCUAUUUUUGGAAAAAAAAAAAAAGGUUAAAUAAUAUCGACCAAGUAGGACACGUUAUUAAUGAUUAUGAUUAUUGGAGGAUCGAAAACUUUAUAUUUGAAAAAUGGACCGAGGUGAGAAUAUUUAACAAAACUUAAGUACAUGACUUUGGGAAAAAAAAAAUUGGUGUGAAAUUUUAGAUUCUCGAAUGGUUAAUCGAUGUAAACACAUAAAUCCAAUAUCUUUAUAACUGUUACAGAUGAAGAUUAUGUGAUGAAUGCGAAUGCACGUCGUCGAUUAUACCGAUACUAAGCCUUGGGUUAGACAGAAAUGUUUUGACAAGUUUUAACGUAAGUUUCGGCCGAACUUAGAGAAUAUUCUUGACCUUGACACGCAGAUACCGAACAUCGUGGGCUUUGUCUUGGGACUGUCUCAGAUGGUCGUGUACGGAUACUACAGAAACAAUGAGGUCAUGGACGAGAAGCUCCCACAACACGUCGCCAUCACCGUCGUUCACCCCCCGCCAGGAGGAGUCUCCGAAGUCCGCCCUGUCACCCGUGAAAUCUCGCCCCCCAUCGACCGCGGUGAAGCCCGAGCGAAUGAGCAACAGCCACAGCCAUCACAACUGCCGGAGGGUGCCGUGGAAGUGGUAGUUUCUGGCGAUGACCUGGGGUCUGAUCAGCCAAGUUAAGUUGGCUCAGGCCCAACUUACCAUCGAGCGGGGCUUUAAUUAAGAAUGUGAAGGCUCAAAUUAGCGUCGAUCUAUCCUCCUCUCCAUGAUGAUCCUAUUUGCCCUAUCGAUAUCUCUCUCUAUCUGUCUCUUUUGUUCAGUUGAUGUACAAUUGUGUGAACGAGAAAGUCCUCCGACAAUCUCUCAGAAGUCUAUUCAUUAUUCCAUUUUCUAAUUAAUGAAUAAGUUAAUUACUAGUAAAUUCGAUGAUGCUCAUGUUGAAUUGCCUAAUUGCCUAAACUCACUUGUAUAGAUCAAUGUGAACUAAACCCAAAAUUUAGUCUGUUGGUUUAUCGAUUUGGGUUUGGUUUAACCAAGCCAUUCAACCAUAUCCAACUUCAAUCUCGAUUUGCUUAUUCUCAAAACUGCUAAAUUAGAGUGCUAUACCAAAAAGAAAAAAAAAGUAGAUGCCUUAAAAGAGCCAAAGUCGAUUUGGUGUAUCUGAUAUAACUCCAAUUAUAUUGGCACCACCGGGUUCAAACUCUAUGAAUGAAGAGCACACUAUUUUCACCACUGCCGGGGUCUAUUGCGAAAAAAGAAAACCAAGAUAAGAUUGGGAACCUUCCACACUUCGAUAAUUUGAAGACAUACUAAUUGUUCUCCCAUAGUUUCUCUCGUUUCGCUGCAAAAUCAAGAAACGCCUCCUUCGACUCCCCGCAUCUGAGUCAUGACCAUCUCGCCAAUGCCGCCACAAUCUUUUCAUUUAAAUUAAGAUCACGUACAAAUCUUACACAGCUUUACAAAAUUGUUAAUUUCAAGCAUUCAAACCGGUCUUAAAUCGGUUUCUUUUGUAGUGUCAAGUAAGUGCUGGACAUAGAAUCCCACAUCACUGGGAAACACCUCCAAAUCAUUGAUUUGGAAUCGGAAAGGUGUCCAAUCUAAUCCCAAUCAAACCCAGCAUGUAAUUUAUCUAAUAACUAAAAGUUCCAAGACUCAGCCUAACUUACAAUUCCCACCGAAAUGCUAAACCAUGAAACCGGGAUAGCUCUGAUAGGAAUAAUUCAACGUCAUAUAUAACGAUGACUAAUGCAAUCAGCGAACGCUGCGUACGGCACUUCAGCAUAUGAAUUAUAUUCCAGCAAAAAGAUAACUUUACACGCUUUGAGAAACCAAGAUACCAGAAUCUGAAACUACUUACCCUCAGCGAUGACUCUCACUCCAUCAUCCAAUUCGCGCUUCGACCCGAAAACCCGAGAAACCAGCCCCACCACCUUCGCCUCCGAACCCGACACCCGCCGACCCAUCAAGACCUGGAAUAGUUCCCUUAAACCCCCCAUCAGAUUCACGAUAAACAUGCCCAAUAAGGCAUUAUGUGCCACGCACGAAAUGAGAUCUGAAUGAUUUUAAAAGGCCAGCCCUAUGUGUCACGGGAGGUAACCAUUACACGAUUUUGUUGCUUUUUAAACCUGUAAAGCUUUCGACUAAAAGAAAAAAAAAAAGCCUGUAAAGGUGGGGUACUUGCGGGGAAAUUUAAGGAAUCAACAUGCUGGAUUCGAUUCAGGGAUGCGAAUCAGUGAGCACAUGCUCGACUUUAGGAUGUCGCUUGCAUCCUCUACCCUGAAAAGUGCUGCACCUUCUACAAGGACACCUGAUAGACUGCAAAAUAUUUUUAAAAAGGACAUUAUUUGUAAAAUAAACUGUACCUAAGUCUUGUGAUUUUAUAUAUAUUACUAGACUCGUGGGGUUAUAUUAUUAUACUAAAGACAUCAAUUUUUCUACGCGACUAACACACAACAUCGUUACAUUUUAUUAUGUCGACCUAGUCUUUUAGUAUUGACAUGGACAUACAUUCUCUAUCGGGCAACAUAAAGAAAGAUGCCAUCCUUAAAUAGCUAAAUGGAUUCUCCUCUUCUCUUUGCCAAUCAUGGCGAUAGGAUGAACAAGGCCACCUAUUCUAGGUUUUCCUAUGAUUGAAAGCCUUCAAGGGAUUGGCUUACAUUUACACAUUUGUGUGCCGGAACUCACUCGAUAUCAAUUAUGGUUUUGGGGCAAACUACAUCAAAUCACAAAACGAUUGCCAGGUGUUCCAUCUUCUGCUCUUUCUGGAUCCACCCCAACAUUGUACCAUGUUCUGAUUGAAUGUUCAUCAUCGAUCACUUCACAGCUCACCAACUUUUCCAUCGCCGAAAAACCACAUUGAAACCGGACUACUUUUGGGGGUGACACUCGGUUUGGGAAUUCCGCGAAAAUGCCGAGGUUUUCGCGUUUGUCGCAUCCGGAGCUAUAUUGAAGCUUCACACGAUUUGAUAGGAGGACACAAUAAGCAAGCGCAUCAGAUCACGUUUCGCGAAACCACCGCUUUUGUGAAAAUCCUCAUUUUGUCAACGUGAUGCAUACGCAAGCAACCGCACGAUAUGGUAAAAGAAGGAGAAACCACGAGGGUGAAUGAAUGUUGCAUGGCAAAAGAAGAGCGCUACGAGACAAACAACCACCCAUUAAAAAAACAAUAAUACUAGAGAGAGAGCGAGGGGGGGAGCGGUAAUGGUUCGGGGUUUUUGAGUGCGGGGGGGAGUCAGCAAGGAACGAAAAUGUAAAAUUCGGAGAAGUCACGUGAACGAAGCAUUACGCGGGGGACGGCUUUGCGGUGGGGGAGUAACGUAACAAUGCUUCGCGCACCGAUCACCACUCUCGCCCGGGGGCGCGUGCCGCCGCCCCCCCGCCGCCCCAGAGGGCCUCCGCCACGCGCCGGAGGAAAUCGAAAUAUAAUUGAGGGGAGGUAUGGCCGGUCGCGUCCGCACGACUUUCGACGCCGACAUCGUGGCGGAGGAGUCUGUACGGGCACGCGAGGAGGGAGGCACGUGGGGGCGACGAGGAGGAGGAGGGAAGGAGGGGCUGGUGCUGCUGAGGAGAGAAUGAUUUUGUGCUACGCUGCCUACUAGUCCUCCACUUGUGAUGCGAGCACUAUGAAUUUAAUAUGCAUUCUCUCUCUCUCUCUCUCUCUCCCUUUCUCUCUCUGGCGCGCAUCAAUAACCCCCAUUUUUCUCCUGCGUCUAGUGGGAUGCAACAUUGUGUGUGUGUGUAUAUAAAGCCGAGCCAUCCCUUGCAUGAUUUUCAUCGAAAGUUAGUGAAAGAGUCGGAGGAGAGGGAAGGGGGAGAGAGCGAGCCAGGGUUUCUCUCCAGACCCUGCUUUCUUUUCUUGGUCUUUGCCUUGGAGAGAGGAGAGGAUUUCUCACGGUCGGAGGUGGAAAAUGGACUUCUUGAUCUUCAUUUUUGGUAUCCUAGGUAAAGAAGGAAGAAACCAGAAGCUGUUCGCCCCUCAUUUCCAUUUGCUUCUUCUUCUUCGCAAUAGUGCUGCUUGCUUGCGCCAUUUCCUUUCAUCCCAUCCAUCUUCAUAUGGUCUACAUGCAUUUAUUUUUUCCGCUUGAUGAAUCGUUCGUAUUUAGUAUCUUUAGCAUGAUUAACAGCAGGCCAUUCUCUUCUUUUCUUCUUCUUUUCGUUUGGCAACUCUUUCUUCCAAAACCUUACUCUUUCUCUUUCUAUCAAUUGCAAAACACACGUUAAGCAACAACAAAAAUCACAAAGAAAAUGAGAAAAUUUUCCCCUUGCACUAAUCUUGACACCACUCUUCACAUGGAGUUUUUCUCUCUUUUGAUGAUACAAACCCCGCUCGAAAUCAAACUUCCAGCAACCUUUUCAGUCUCUUUGACUUUUGCUGACUUUUUCACAACCCUUUUGGCCAUUUCCUCCAAUGAUUUUUGUUUUCACUCUAGCACACUUUUAGAAUUAGCUUUAAAUGCUGAAGCCGGUACGCUAGCGUCUGUCGUCAACUUAUAGGUCCGUCUUCAAGUUGUUGCAACUAACGUGGGAUUUAUAUUGUCUCAAGUCGGUUUGCAUUUCGUGGGAAUUCAUUCUUUCAUCUUUUGGCUAUAUCGUGUGUAUACAAAGGUUAUACAACAACAUGUAACAUGAUUUAGUUCGAAUUCUGUUCAACCAUGCCGUAUGUGCUUACUACUUAAAUUGGUAAAUGACUGAGGUUGUUUUUCUUCUUCUUUAAUUUUAACCCUAGCAAAAAGAGUAUUUUCAUUUGCGCCGUGCUUGCACAAAAUAAUCUAAUGUUUGUGUUUUUCUUUUGCAAUCGAUGAUAGGAAACAUUGUCUCGCUCUUCGUCUUCUUUGCUCCGGUGUAAGUAAUCAUCUUUUUCUUUGAAGUUCUUUUCUUUCACUAGGAUGAAGAUAGUAUUAUUUUAUUUGAUCCCAAUACAAUAGCUACUGAUUUUUUUUUUCUUUUCUCCUGUUGCAGGCCGACAUUUUACCGAAUCUACAAGGAGAAAUCGACCGAGGGUUUCCAAUCAAUACCGUAUUUGGUCGCUCUAUUUAGCUCCAUGCUCUGGCUUUACUACGCAUUCCUCAAAGGACACUCCUUCCUUCUCAUCACCAUUAACUCAUUCGGAUGCGUCAUAGAGAUGGUGUACAUCGCCAUCUACAUUGCUUAUGCGCUGAGAGCUGCCAAGGUACGUAUUGAUCAUUAGACGAUGCAAAGCUCAUAUUCCAAUCACAAUGAACCAAAGGGCUUGCUAGGAAACUUUCUUUGGCAAUUCACAUGAUCUAUAAAAUGAAAGAAAAUACAUUCGACAAAAAAAGAACUGAAAAUUUUAAGAACACAAUAAAUCCUAGUGGUAGUUUACGACUGAUUGGGUUAACCGAAUGUGUUUUGCGCUCUCCAUCCUUGCCAUCUAAAAGCUCUGUUUUUCCCCUAUAUCUCUAACUACCCUAUGUUUGUUCUAUCUAACUUAAUGAUUUUGAUUAUUGCAGAGCUCCACAAUCAAGCUCUUUGCUCUGAUGAACGUGGGAUUGUUCUCUCUCCUAAUUCUCAUAAUGCACUUCAUUCCAAACGAUGAUGCACGCACCACGGUGUUUGGAUGGAUUUGCACGACGAUUUCCGUGAGCGUCUUUGCAGCGCCAUUAGGCAUUGUGGUGCGCACUUAAAAAAUCCAAUAUUUCUUUUUCCAAAUAUUCAUAUCUAACCACGGAGAACGCAUUUUAAUCUUCUUGCUUUUUUUCCCCUAUUCUGGUCUUCUUAGGCACGAGUUGUGCGAACGAAGAGCGUGGAGUUCAUGCCCUUCUCUCUUUCGUUCUUUCUAACAUUGAGCGCCGUCAUGUGGUUCGGCUACGGUUUCUUCCAAAAGGACUGGUGCAUUAUGGUAAGGGAUUCCCAUUUUCGAAAAAUUAAAUUGACGAUCGUGAAGGAUCACUUUAAUUUGUAUUUGAAGUGUAUGUUCUGUCGUAAUGUGCAUUGGCGUAAUGUAGGUCCAAAUAUUUGUUCAGCAUUAAUUUUGGGUUCAGCUGCAUUGGGGCAGACUAAAAUGUUAUGUCAAGUUUUAACAUAAGUUUUGGCGGAACUUAAAGAAUAUUCUUGACCUGGACAUGCAGAUACCGAACAUCGUGGGCUUUGUCUUGGGACUGUCUCAGAUGGUCUUGUACGGAUACUACAGAAACAAAGGGGUCAUCAUCAUCAAGGACGAGAUCAUGGACGAGAAGCUCCCGCAACACGUCGUUCACCCCCCCUCAGGAAGAGCCUCUGUAGUCCACCCCGUCACCGUUGGAAUCCCGCCCCCCAUCAAUGGCGGUGAAGCCCGAGCGGAUGAGCAACAGCCACAGCCAUCACAACUGCCGGAGGGUGCCGUGGAAGUGGUAGUUUCCGGCAAUGACCCGGGGUCUGAUCAGCCAAGUUAAGUUGGCUCAAGCCCAACUUACCAUCGAGCGGGGCUUUAAUUAAGAAUGUGAAGGUUGUGUCGGUCUAUCCUCCUCUCCAUGAUGAUCCUACUUGCUCUAUCGAUAUCUCUCUCUAUCCAUGUUCGGUUGGUGUACAAUUGUAUGAACAAGAAAGUGUUCUGACAAUCUCUUAGAAGUGUAUUCAUUAUUCCAUUUUCUGAUUAAUGAACAAGUUAAUUACUACUACAUUCGAUGAUGCUCGUGCUGAAUUGCCUAAUAUCUCUCUCUCUCUCUCUCGUGCGCGUUAGUUAAGGCAGUGGGGACCGAUUCUUACUAAUUCGACCACAAUCUCUCCACUCAUUCUGUUCGGCAGAAUGGAAUUUGUGCGACACAACAUGAAUGCCCUGUUUUGCUUCGUAUGGUUCACAGAAAGCAAGCGAAGAGGCUCAAGGAGCGAACGAAGCAGGAAAUUCUCGAUCAAGACAACAUGCCAUUAGAUCCAUUGAAACCGCCUUGAGCGUUCUGCCUCGCCAAUUCUCUCCCCACACUUUUGCCUCGGUUACGGCCCUUCCUCUAUUCAUGUCCCCUGGAGAAUUGUUCUUUCCGGACACUGAGAAUUGUUCUCUCGCCACACCACCAACCGCGCGGCAAUUCAGUAGAUCAGAUGCUGCUUGAAACUUACAAGAUUCGGCACAAGCAUUACAAGACAAUCCCCCUCUUCCUUUGGAUUCUCUUAUCUAUAAUGCUGUUCUAGCAAUGAUGUACACCGAACUCCCUCAUCUUCCAAAUUUCAAGUAUAAACAGAGAAUGGAGAGAUUAGACCCGAAAAAAAGCCGAGUUAAGAGUAGCAGGGACCAAGUCCUCCUAAUUCGACCACAAUCUCUCCGCUCAUUUCCCUUCGACAAAAUGGAAUAUGCAGGACACGAAGUGAAUGCCCUGCGUUUGCUUCGUAUAAGUUCACAGAAAGCAAGCCAAUGGGAGGCUCAAGGAGGAAACGAAGCGAGAAACUGCGAUCAAGACAACCGGCCAUUAGAUCCAUCGAAACUGCCUUGAGUGCUCUGCUGUCUUUUCUCUCGCCAAUUCUCUCCCCACAUCUUUGCCUCCGCGACAGCCCUUUCUCUAUUCAAGUCCCUAUUUAACAACUUACCGUCCUCCUCGAAAGAUUUACCAAUGCAAGAAACUUUUUCUAGUCCCCAAUCCAAUAUAUAGUAUUUACCCGAAACGAGAACUUUUUAUUUUCCACCUGCAACUUGCUGUUGUCUAUUUCUACAAGGAUAUACUCAAUGACGUGAUGACCUCGAUAGGCAAGAUUUUUUCCCCACACACUCGUUUAGCAACAAAAAAUGCGCAUCGCCGGUCUGCAAUUGGAGGGUAAUUAGCAAUUUUAACAAAGAAAAACAAUGACCCAGCAUCUACAGUAUACCAUCCUAUGCAUGGUUUAUCCCAAACCGAUAAAAGUUCCAAGUGAAGGACAAAUACACCCAUCGUACAUACAAAUAGAGCAAAAAAUACAGGGGUUUCGAUUAGCCUUGAAGAAAUGGAUAAGUGGAGCCCUUCUAAUCUAAAUGGUAACUCUAUCCUUCAUCACAGUGAGAGGAUGUCAAGAGAGUCUAAAAUUGGUAAACUCAAGACGAUCGAUGUGAACUAAACCAAAAAUUUAGUCUGUCGGUUUAUUGAUUUGGGUUUGGUUUAACCAAGCCAUUCAACCAUAUCCAACUUCAAUCUCGAUUUGCUUAUUCUCAAAACUGCUAAAUUAGACUGCUAUACCAAAAAGAAAAAAAGUAGAUGCCUUAAAAGAGCCAAAGUCGAUUUGGUGUAUCUGAUAUAACUCCAAUUAUCUUGGCACCACUGGGUUCAAACUCUGUGAAUGAAGAGCAUGGUCUGCUCACCACUGCCAGGGUUUAUUGUGAAAUGGGAAAAAACCGAGAUAAGAUUGGGAACCUUCCACACUUCGAUAAUUUGAAGCCAUACUAAUUGUUCUCCCAUAGUUUCUCUUGUUUUGCUACAAAACCAAGAAAUGCCUCCUUUGGCUCCUAGCAUCUGAGUCAUGACCAUCUCGCCAAUGCCUAAUCCUUAUCGCCACAAUCUUUUCAUUUGAAUUGCGAUCACAUACUAAUCCCACCCAGCUUUACAAGAUAAUUAAUUUCAACCACUCAAAUAGGUCUCAAAUCCGUUUUGAUGUGAAAUCGUUGCGGAAAGAUCGUUCUACGAAGGCCCAGAUGGUGCGAAUUUUGAACCUCGACCUCCAAUUGAACUUGUGAUUGGCAAUCUCGGUAUGAACGUGAUAUGUUGACGAACGCGUGUCAACCAACCAACGUUAUAGACACUACGAGCAAAAGAAUUCGCUAUUUCGCUCGAUAAGUCGAAUCGACCACCACAAGAGAAUCUUGAUAAGGUCAAGUUCUAAAAAAAAAAUAGUAAAAGAGAACCUCUUAAUUAUUUUCCUCAAUGAUAAAAUGUAUUUGUCUCCCAAAGAAAGUCGGCCAGUCCAUAAUAUAGGCAUCUAGUUACCACACAAACCCUAAAAUCAGCCCUAAAAAUCUAAUGCGUCAUAUUCUAGAAAAUAUUUAAAUAAGAAUUGGUCAAAUAUUUAGUGACCAUAUAAUCAAAUUGCGCCAAAAUUUCCAAGAUACUUCAAAAUUCGAUCCAAGGUCAUCUCCACGCCAAAAACUACACCAAGAUUUCCAAGAUUUUUAAAGAUUUGAUCCAAGUCAUCUCCAUGCCAAAGAUACGCCAACAGCUUGCCUAAAUUGCUUGGCCCGCGCUUGAGUGACCAAUCUAGUUAGAAUAGACAAUAGGUUCCUAGCACCUCCUCCUUAAUAUAGCUCAAUGUCCAUAUCACGUUUCUUAUGUAGUGUCAAGUAAGUUCUCAACAUCUAAAGGUGUCCAGUCUAAUCCAAAUUGAACCCAGCAAAUAAUAUUUCUAAUGACCAAAAGUUCCAAGACUCAGCCUAACUUACAAUUCCCACGGAAAUGCUCAACCACGAAACCGGGAUCGGUCUAUAUAACUCUGAUAGGAAUAAUUCAAUGUCCUAUGCAAUGAUGACUAACGCAAUCGGUGAACGCUGCAUAUGGCAUUUCAGCAUAUGAAUUAUGUUCCAGCAAAAAGAUAACUUUAUUCGCUUUGAGAAACCCAGAUACCAGAAUCUGAAACUACUUACCCUCAGCGAUGACUCUCACUCCAUCAUCCAAUUCGCGCUUCGACCCGAAAACCCGAGAAACCAGCCCCAGCUCCUUCGCCUCCGAGCCCGACACCCGCCGACCCGUCAAGGCCAGCUCCAUCGCGUUCCCGUACCCCACGAUGCUCGGCAACCUCUGCAGCGUCCCGAGGUCGACGGUGAUCGCGCCAGGUCGAACUCCUUCACCGAGAAGAACGCGUCCUCCGUGCAGUACCUCACGUCGCACGCGGUGGCGACGUCGACGCCGCCCUCGACGCAAGCCCCGUGGACGGCGGCGAUCACCGGCUUGCGGCACCGCUCGAUGGCCGUCACCGCGCGCUGCAGGUACUUUGAUGUGCCGGCGGAGCCUCUCACCUGCGCGGCCGCGGUCGCCGGGUGGUGGGGAGGAGUCGAGGGCGGCGAAGUCGAUGCCGAAGCAGAAGUGGUGGCCGGCGCCGGAGAGGACGAGGACGAGGGCGUCGGGGUUGCGGUCGAGGGAGGAGAGGGCGAGGGGGAGCUCGGCGAAGGAGUCGAGGGAGAGGGCAUUGCGGGAGGAAGGGCGGUUGAGGCGGAGGUGGAAGACGGCGGAGCGGGGGCUGGCUCGGACGAUUUCCAGGGUCUUGAAUUUCUCCAUUUUCCGGUCGAGAAAGACGAUGAAGAUCGGGAAAGGGCCGAGGUUUCUCGGCUCACCUCGGAGCUGGAGAAGGAACGGGUCGCUUUGUUUGUCGGGACUGUUCUUUUUGGGCCGAGCCCAGUAGACCGUGGGCCGGUCAAUGGCUGGGCCAGAUUCAGGUCGGGUUUUUGGGUUAGACAUAUAUCUUGUGCGAAAUGCUCACUUCAAGUUAGUUAGGAGGUACAUAACCUCGUACUUUGAGGUUUUUUUUUUAUUUUUUUUAUUGCACAUUGAGAGAAUGUUAAUAUAUACAUAACAUUAUGAUGGUAGAGAAGGCGAAUGACGAUGAUGCAUAAAUUCCGAGGGCCCUCACAAGGUCAAUUCUUAAAUUUCAUUGUUAGUAAUUCGUCAUUUCUAAUGGAGAAAAAGAAUUGUUACUUUUUAAUCCCCAUGAUUGGCAUGGUUGGUUGAGGUGCCGUGGGAUUUUCAGCUUAUGAACUAGAGAGUGGAGAUCGCUUGUUCGGAUCCCACAAACUUUACAUAAGUUGUUUUUGAUCGAGGGUCACUAUCCACCAAAACAAAAGAUCUAAAUUUAAUUGGUUCAUGAGAUUUCGAGAUAUUCUCAUGAAUCUCUAGGUAAUCUUUCUAUUUGCUUAAUUUAUUGAUUUAGUAUAUCAUAACAAAUUUAGUAAGGAUGCUUGAAAAGUUGGAUGAUUAGAUGUGAUUAACUCAUGCCUGGAUGACUCCAUCGACGUCAAGUUGGUCAGAUUGAUGGUGGUGCAUCUAACUACUACAAAUUGAUGGUGGCGCAUCUAACUACUACAAGAAACUCAAAUGAUAAUAGAAAUAGUUAAAUCGAUCAGGGAAAUGAAAAGUGAUGAAUAUGGCUGCGAAAAAAAAUACAAAGUGCUUCUCUCAUUUUGCCGAGGCUGGCAAAGUUUCAUUGAUCCUAAAUCUAGAGUUUUGGCAAAAAAAACAAAGUCUUAAUCUUAAACAUCUUUUUGAAGAAGUUGCAAGCAAACCCUUCCCAAUAUCACUUCCUUAACUUUUCCUAUCAAUUUAAGAUUUCAAGUAAUUAUCCAUGUUAAUUAAUGUGUCACAUGUCUUUUAUCUAUGGAAAUUUAACAAGAUUUGUAUUCAUGCAGUCUUCCUUCAUUUAUAAAUCUUGAACUUUUGAAUUAAAGUUUCUAACUUUGGACUGUUACAUCUACAAUGAGCAAGUACUCAAUGAAUGUGUUAUAUGUACUAAAUUGCAUUGGGGCCUUACAUUGAAUGAGACCUAUUGGAUCCAACUAUCAUGACCCUAAUUCAAAGCUAGUUCAAAGCAUGUUCUUGAUGGAAAAAUUAUUUUUUUUUUUUAAAAAGUUAUAAACGUACUAUAUAAAUGCCAAUUUAAUCUUAAAACUUUUAACUUGACCAAUUUCGUCUUACAUAAUUUGAGAUUUGUCAAUUUUGGCUAAAAACAGCUAAAAUGGACACUAGCCAUUCGAUGUGGCAUGUUGGUCAACACUAACGUGGAAAAGUAUUUUUUCCCCUAAAGUUUUUGAAUUUUUUGAAUUUUUGAAUUUUUAAUUUUUUUUAAUUUCCCUUUACCGGUCUAUAGCCUCAUUGGUCAUCAUGAAUGUGUCAUCUCCGUUCGUCUUAGGUCUCCUAGGGGUAUGCAAUGAGUGAUCUUGAAUUGUUGACAAACUCUGUCCAUCAUGACACUAUCUAGGUUUGGCAUAUUAUCUGUGAUGAUUUUGUGAGGAACUCCAUAUCGAUAGAUUCUGUUGGGAUUGAAAAAAUUCACUACUCUAGCUUUUGGAAUAGCUUUGUAGGAUGCCACCUCGAUCCAUCGUAACCUCAUUAGGCUAGUGCCACCAAAAAAAAAAAAGGGUUAGUUGGCAACCCUCGCCAACCCACAAUAAAUAAAUAAAUAAAAGACACAAAGAAAAGAAAAAAAUGAAAUUUUAUAUAAAAAAAUUGCAAAAAUUGUUCAUUUCACUUAGGACGGUUGGUGUUUACUUAAAUAAUUAUUAUUAAAAAUUAGUCGGAAUAACUACAUUAGUAAAUUAUCAAAAUAUUUAAAAUUAAAUUGGUGAAAUUAGAAUGUUUGUGAUUGAAUUAAAAUACGUAUAAUAGAUUUAAGAAUUUUUUGAUAAAUAUCCCUAUUUUUAUCCCUAUUUACUAAUUUAAAUAUAUGUACACAUCAUCCUUCUAAGCUAACAAAACAUGCUGUGAUGCACGUUUUUAACACAUGCAAGUUGUUUUUAAUAGCUUAUUUAAGUGAACGUGAAGUUUAUAUUGAACGAAAUAACUUUUUUUUUUUUUUAAAAAAGAGGGUUGAAAGAAGGCCCGCAGAGCAAAAACAAGGUAUAGUAAAAAACAAUUAAAGGCGGUUUUUCAAGAAAUAAUCUUAGAAAGAGGACAUUUAUUCGCUCGUAUUUUCUUGACGUUGCAAAGAAAAUCUAAAUUGACCUUCGGCUAGAUUGAAUUUUUGCAGAAAAUUUCUUUGUAUAAUGUUUUUGUUUGUGAUAACUUAUGAAUUUAUCAUGACAUUUCAUUGUUAAAAAAGGAUAAAAUUGACACUUUUUGCAAAUCUUAAUUAGGAAAAAUCAUAGUAUCCCUGUUAGAAAGUUAAACAAAAAAUAUGAAGUCAUUAGUUGGAGGGAAACAACGUGUUUAUAAAAAGCAUAUAAAACUCGUUAUCAAGCAAUGUAAGAUAUUUCAACAUCUCUCACGUGCAAGCCUAACUAGAAGUGGUACAUGGAAUUUGAUUAAUGGGGUGGACACACAAUGUGAAAGGGAUAGCACUUGCCUAUAAUACCAUGUCAAAAAAGUUCAACCCAAAUGCUUAAGUAACUAGAUGGAGUGAGACAACAAUAAAGAGUAUAUAAGACCCGCUAUCAAAUGAUGUAAGAUAUUUUGACACACCAUCUCACAUGCAAGCUAGGUUAUGAGCAGCACAUGAAAUUUGAUUAACGGGGUGAACACACACGUGAAAGGAAUAUCGCUUGACUCCGAUACCAAAUUAUAAAAUCUGACCUAAUAGUUUAAACUAUUAAGUGGAGGGAGACCAACUGCAUAUCAAAAGCAUAUAAGAUCAAUUGUUAAGACCUACAUGCAAGUGGGAUUAGGAGUAGUGCGUUGAAUUUGAUUAACGGGUGGAUAUCCCUUGAUUCUGGUACCAUGUUAAAAAGUCCAAUAAAAAAACUUAAACUAUUAAGUGAAGGGAAAUCAACUGUAUAAAGAGCAGAUAAAGCUUGUUGUCAAGCGAUAUAAAAAAUCUCAAUAUUCAAUCUUAUGUGCAAGCUAGAUUAUGAGCGGCUCACACGAAAGGAAUAACAAUUGGCUCUAAUAUCACGUUAGAAAGUUUAACCAAAAUCUUAAAUUUUUAAAUAAAGGGAGAGCUUAUGUAUAGAAAGAAUAUAUAAAAUUCAUUGUUUAAUGUGGACAAUUCAACAAUCCCAAAAUCUCUCAUAAAUUCUAAAUUUCAUUUUAUCUUGCCCUUCUUACAUCGAAUUGAGUCCAUUUCUUAAAUAAUUCGACUCACAUGGUUCCUCUUUUUAACUAUUGAUUUUCAAGUUUUGCACCUAAUUUUUGUUCCAUUUUCAAGGGGAAUAUAUAUAUAUAUAUAUAUAUAUAUGGAAAAAUCCAAGUAUAUAACAAUUUUACAACAUAACUACAUCAUCUUCAACUCUAAUUUUCUUUUCAAAACACUUAACGAUAUAUACUUUCAAAUAAUUUGUGCUUAGGAUGAGUCUAAAGUACUCUCCAAACCUUUUAUUGCAACUAGAACAAUUGCACAAUGUAGCCUGUCAGAAGCAUAAAAUUGAGAUAUUUACAAAAAAAAAAUCAUAAAUUUAUUGUACAAAUACCUAUUCAAUCGUAAUCAUUUUAAUUUGGCUAAUUUAAUCAUAAUUUUUCUUUUAUAAUUUACCAAUAUAACAAUUUCAACCAAUUUUGUAAGGGAAAUUGCUAAUAUAACGGUCCAAUCAAUGCCAAAUGUUCUCCAUGGAAUAGCUGGCCAUUAGUAUAGAUAAUUUUUGCAAUUAUUUUAAUUUUUUGAGUUUUUUUUUCCUUUUUCCCUAAUUUCAUUAGCUAGUUGCCCUUCCACAGAUGAGGACCAACAAAGGCUGCCUUCACUAAGGUUGCCUUAGCCAAAUUUGGCCAGGCUACCCUCACCAAAGGUUGGCAAGGGCAACCUUCACUUCUGGUUGGUGGAGAAUUGUUGAGGCCCCAACAACUCGUAAAGGGAAAUAGGAAAAAUUAGAAAGAAAUAAAAUAAAAUAAAACAUGCCAAAUUUCGUUUUUAAAAUUCAAAAAAAUUGUCCACAUCCGCACUGUUGGUGCAUUGCCAGCAAAUUUUGAUUGAAAAAACUAUAUUAACCAAUCAUUAAAGUUUUGGGGCUUAAUUGGCCAAAAAAACUUAGGAUUGAAUUGUCAUAUAUACAAUAAAUUUAUGACUUUUUUAUAAUUGAAUGCAUGCCCUAAGCUUCCUCAUAUCUCAUAUCUUUUUUUGAUAACUACUAAUAUCCCUAUUACUAUUACUGUGCCGAUGUGCAUAAAUUACACAACAACAUACAACAACCAGGAGUUGACUGAUUUCAAGGUAGACUGGUCCUUACCUUUGAAUUGGGAAUCAAUCUGACGGCUCUUGAUUCCAAAAAUUUGGAAACGAAAACCAAAUCAAUAAGGACCGGUUUGACCCAACGUGGCUCUUGAGAAACGGGAACAAACACAGCCGUCCACCUUUUGUUCUUUGAAUGAUUUAAAAAUAAAAAAGGUGGCAUGUCUUGUCCUUCGCGAAUUAAUUGUGGGACACGUUUUAGGAUGACUAAAAGUUAACAAAAAUAAAAAAUAAAAAUAAAAUUGAAAAAUAAGCCCAAGUGUGAGAUCCUACAUCAAGUAGUGGGAUUAUAUAUAUACACACACUUUAUGGUUUAUUAUAACAUAUUCAAUGUUGUUGGAUAAAAAAGAAGAAAUAAGUGGAGGUAUUCAAUAGUCUUGGUUCAGUUUGAUUCCAUCCCAAAACCACAUUGAUUCCAAUUUUAGGAAUUAGGAACCGGACCGGUUCAUACGGGAAUCGCUCAAAACUGACUUGAGUGGUGCUCGCCCUUACAAUGGCCACGUCAUUUUUUCGGCGAACUAGUAGGUGUUUUCUUCUUUUAUUGGAUAUAUUCUUAAAACUCCAAUUGCUUUCUCCAACUUGAGUUGAGGAGAUAUUAGAGAUAACUUAGAUAUUUCUUUGAUGUAUAUUAAAGAUAAUUAGGAUAUUUUCUUUGAUUCUCAUUGUCUCUCAAGGUUAUUCAUAUAUUAUUGUAUUUGUUUUAAUUCUCCGGUUCAUGUAUCUUUUCAUAAGAAUCCAUUGAAAUAUUCAAAAAUUUCACAUUUCUUAUGCGUGGGAUAAUCUAAGUUUUUCCAACAAAAAAAAAAAAAAAGCAAAACCCGAAGAAGAGGAGCUUCACGUUUUCCAUAUCAAUCGGUAUGAAAUCAGUGACCAGCCCUACGCGUCUUCAUCAGUUGAUGAGAGAGAGAGUCCUUUAAGGAUUCUCCAGACCAGAUUGAGUCAAGGGAUCGAUGAAGAAUUAUACCUAGAAUAGUUCCCUUAAACCCCCCAUCAGAUUCACGAUAAACAUGCCCAAUAAAGCAUUAUGUGCCACGCAAGACAUGAGAUCUGAAUAAUUUGGAAUGGCUUGAUCAUAUCUCCCUUCUCGUACGCAAUCCCGAUAAUCACUCCAUCUCCCUCAUUGAUUUUUGCAGGGUCUGGUGACGCAAAAGGGGCCCUUCCUUACUGUCAACAUCUCUCCCUAAUUUAAGCAGAAAUUUUGCCAUUUCCCCCUCCUUCCAUUACCCCGUGAGAUUAUCAUGUAGCUUUUGUAAUAUCGCCAAAAUAACUUAACAUACACUCAUUGAUUUCCUAAACAAGUGCAUUCCUAGUCAUCAUCAAUAAUUAGCAAAGUACAAAGGUCCGGUGAAACUUCGCCGGCACAUAAAAUUAGAGGUGAUAAUUCCUGACAUAACAUGAGAAAACGACUUAGAUGCAACAUAAAUUUAUCAAUGAGAAAUUGGAAUUUGGUGUGAUGCGGCUUUACUCAAAACCGACAUAACAUGACACUUUGAAAGUAAAUUGAAGUUUUUUUUAUUAUUGACAUGGAAGGACACGAGUGGUUGACACGGACACAUAACACAAGAAUAUGAAUUGCCAGCCCUACGUGUCAUGGGAGGUAACCAUUACAUGAUUUUGUUGUUUUUAUACCUGUAAAGCUUUCGACCAAAAGAAAAAUAAAAAACUGUAAAGGUGGGGCACAUGCGGGGAAAUUUAAGGAAUCAACGUGGCUGGAUUCGAUUCAGGAUGCGUUUCGGAGGAAGACAUACGAUAAGUUCCGACUUUCAAAAGUUCAGAAUCAGCGAGCACAUGCUCGACUUUGGGAUGUACCUUGCAUCCUCUACCCUGAAAAGUGUUGUACCUUCUACAGGGACACCUGGUAGAUUGCAAAAUAUUUUUAAAAAGCACAUUAUUUGUAAAAUAAACUAUACCUAAGUUUUGUGAUUUUAUAUCUCUUACUAGACUCGAGAGGUUGUAUUAUUAUAUUAAAGACAUUGAUUUUUCUACACGUUAUUAGCACAACGUUGUUACAUUUUAUGAUGACUUUGUAUUAGUAUUGAUAUGGACAUGCGUUCUCCAUUGGGCAAUGUCAAGAAAGUUAUCACCCUUAAACAGCUAAAUGGGGUUUCCCUCUCUCCUUGUCAAUCAUCGCAAUAUGAUGAGCAAGGCCACUUAUUCUAGGUUUCCUAUGAUUGAAAGCCUUCAAGAGAUUGGGUUACAUUUACACAUUUGUGCGCUUGAACUCACUCGAUAUCAAUUAAGGUUUUGGGGCAAACUACAUCAAAUCACAAAAUGAUAGCCAAGUGUUCGAUCUUCUGCUUGUUCCGGAUCCAUCCCAACAUUGCACCAUGUUCUGAUUGAAUGUUUAAUCAUUGAAAUUUAAUAGUUUUCGUUAGUAAAACGUCACCCUUCAUGGGGCCUCCCAUUCGACACGUAACCUAAGUUUCCUAGAGUCCCUUUCACACAUUAUUUGCAAACAAUAAUGGAAGUCCGCAUCCAUCAGAAGUCAUGCUAUCAUCUUGCCAUUUACACGGCAAAAGCGACCGUAAUUAGGGAAGCUAGAACUUGAAAACUUUUAGUCCAUAUUCACUAGUCGAAUGCAAUAAUAGUAUCGUACCAUAUGAUCAAUCACUUCACAGCUCACCAACUUUUCCAUCGCCGAAAAACCGCAUUGAAACCGGACUACUUUUGAGGGUGACACUCGGUUCGGAAAUUCCGUGAAAGUGCCGAGGUUUUCGUGUCCUCGCGUCCGGAACUAUAUUGAAGCUUCACACGACUUGGUAGGAGGACACAAUAAGCAAGCGCAUCAGCUCACGUUUCGCGAAACCACCGCGUUUGUGAAAAUCCUCAUGUUGUCAACGCGAUGCGUACGCCAAACAACCGCACGAUAUGGUAAAAGAAGGAGAAACCACAGGGGUUAAUGAAUGUUGCAUGUGAAAAUAUCUUAUCUCGACCCUCCUCCACCACCUGGCAAAUCCCGAAACCACUUCCCGAGUUCCAACCAUCCAUGCAUGCGAGCCCCAACAACCUCAUUCAUCGCCCAACCAAGAAACAUAAAUGCGCAAAAAGAACCCAUCAUUUUGUUCUGUACAUGGUCAUCACCCUUCUCGUCCUAUCAUGCCUCACGCAACCGCAAGGCGCAUGUGCACGAGGCUUCAAGAACGAAAAAGCCAAAGCGGGGAGAUGCCAUGAACGCGCACGCACGAAACCUCUAGAGCUCUUCCACAUGAAGGGCGCGCAAAGAAGAGCGCUACGAGACAAACAAUUACCAUUAUAAAACAAUAAUACUAGAGAGAGAAGGGGGGAGGGCUAAAUUAGGGCCGAGCCAGCAAGGCGUGUUUGGCUCGGGGUUUUUGAGUGCGUGGGGGAGUCAGCAAGCAGUGUUGGUUCGGGGUUUUUCAAUGCGGGGGGGAGGAGAAAGAAAACGGCUAAAAGACAAUGAAAAAAUCGCGGAACCAAAGUGUAAUUUUCGGAGAGGUCACGUGAACGAAGCAUCAGCUGCAUUACGCGGAGGACAGCUUUGCGGUGGGGGAGUAACGUAACAAUGCUUCGCGCACCGAUCACCACUCUCGCCCGGGGGCGCGUGGCGCCGCCCCCGCGCCGCCCCAGAGGGCCUCCGCCUCGCGGCGGGGGAAAUCGAAAUAUAAUUGAGGGGAGGUACGGCCGGUCGCGUCCGCACGACUUUCGACCCCGACAUUCGUGGCCAAGGAGCUGUACGGGCACGCGAGGAGGGAGGCACGUGGGGCGACGAGGAGGAGGAGGAGGGAAGGAGGGGCUGGAGCCUGGUGCUGCUGCGGAGAGAAUGAUUUUGUGGUACGCUACCUACUAGUCCUCCACUUGUCAUGCGAGCACUAUGAAUUCAAUACGCAUAUUCUCUCUCUCUCUCUCUCUCUCUCUGUGGCGCGCAUACACGCACACACGGCAACCCCCAUUUUUCUCCUGUGCCUAGUGGGAUGCAAUAUUGUGUGUGUGUGUGUAUAAAGCCGAGCCAUCCCUCGGAUGGUUUUCAUCGAAAGUUAGUGAGAGAGUCGGAGGAGAGGGAGGGAGAGGGAGAGAGAGAAAGAGAGAAAGAAGAACCAGGGUUUCUCUCCAAACCCUGCUUUCUUUUCUUGGUCUUUGCUUUGGAGAGAGGAGAGGAUUUCUCACGGUCGGAGGUGGAAAAUGGACUUCUCGAUCUUCAUUUUCGGUAUCCUAGGUAAAGAAGGAAGAAACCAGAAGCUCUUCGCCCUUCAUCUCCAUGUGCUUCUUCUUCUUCGCAAUAAUGCUGCUUGCUUGCGCCAUUUCCUUUCAUCCCAUCCAUCUUCAUAUGGUCUACAUUCGUUUUUUUUUUUCUCCGCUUGAUGAAUCGUUCGUAUUAGUAUCUUUAGGAUGAUGGUUAGCAGGUCAUUCUCUUCUUUUCUUCUUCUUGUCGUUUGGUAACUCUCUCUUCCAAAACCUCAUUCUUUCUCUUUCUAUCAUUUGCAAAACACACGUGAAGCAACAACCAAAAUCACAAAGAAAAUGGGAAAAUUUUUCCCGGUGCACUAAUCUUGACACCACUCUUCACAUGGAGUUUUUCUCUCUUUUGAUGAUACAAACCCCGCUCGGAAUCAAACUUCCAGCAACCUUUUCAGUCUCUUGGACUUUUGCCAACUUUUUCACAACCCUUUUGGCCAUUUCCUCCGACGAUUUUUGUUUUCACUCUAGCGCACUUUUAGAAUUAGAUUUAAAUGCUGAAGCCAAUAAGCUAGUGUCCGUCGUAAACUUAUGGGUCCGUCUUCAAGUUGUUGCAACUAACGUGGGAUUUAUAUUGUCUUGAGUCGAUUUGCAUUUCGUGGGAAUUCAUUCUUUUCAUCUUUUGGCUAUAUCGUGUGUAUACAAAGGUUAUACAACGACAUGCAACAUGAUUUAGUUCGAGUUCUGUUCAACCACACCGUAUGUGCUCCGCACUUAGAUUAGUAAAUGACUAAUGUUGCUUUUCUUCUUCUUUAAUUUUAACCCUAGCAAAAAGAGCAUUUUCAUCUGCACCGCGCUUGCACAGAAUAAUCUAACGUUUGUGCUUUUCUUUUGCAAUUGAUGAUAGGAAACAUUGUCUCCUUCUUCGUCUUCUUGGCUCCAAUGUAAGUAAUCAUUUUUUUCUUUGAAGUUCUUUACCUUCAUUGGGAUGAAGAUAGUCUUAUUUUAUUUGAUCCCGAUACAAUAACUACUGAUUCUUUUUCUCUUCUCCUGUUGCAGGCCGACAUUUUACAGAAUCUACAGGAACAAAUCGACUGAGGAAUUCCAAUCGAUACCAUAUUUGGUCGCUCUAUUCAGCUCCAUGCUCUGGCUUUACUACGCAUUCCUCAAAGGACACUCCUUCCUUCUCAUCACCAUUAACUCCUUUGGAUGUGUCAUAGAGAUGGUGUACAUUGCCAUCUACAUUGCUUAUGCGCUCACAGCUGCUAGGGUACGUAUUAAUCAUUAGACGAUGCAACACUCAUAUUCCGAUCACAAUGAACCAAUAAGCUUGCUAGGAAACUUUCUUUGGGGAUUCAUGUGAUCUAUACAAUGAAAGGAAAUACGUUUGACAAAAAAAAAAAACUAAAAUUUUAAGAACACAAUAAAUCCCAUUGGUAGUUUAGGACUGAGUGUGUUAACCGAACGUGUUUUGCGCUAUCCAUCCUUGCCAUCUAAAAGCUCUCUUUUUCCCCUAUAUCUCUAACUAUCUUGUGUUUGUUCUGACUUAAUGAUUUUGAUUACUGCAGAACUCCACGAUCAAGCUCUUUGCUCUGAUGAACAUGGGAUUGUUCUCUCUCCUAAUUCUCAUCACGCACUUCAUUCCGAACGAUGAUGCACGCGCCAUGGUGUUCGGAUGGAUCUGCACGACAAUUUCUGUGAGCGUCUUUGCUGCGCCGUUAAGCAUUGUGGUGCGCACUUAAAAAAUCCAAUCUCUCUUCCCAAAUUCUCAUAUCUAACCACGGAAAACGCAUUUUAAUCUUCUCUCUUUCUUUUUUUUUCCCUAUUCUGGUCUUCUUAGGCACGAGUUGUGCGAACAAAGAGCGUGGAGUUCAUGCCCUUCUCUCUGUCGUUCUUUCUAACUUUGAGCGCCAUCAUGUGGUUCGGCUACGGUUUCUUCCAAAAGGACUGGUGCAUUAUGGUAAGGGAUCCCCAUUUUCGAAAAAUUAAAUUAACGAUCGUUAAGGAUCACUUUACUUUGCAUUCGAACUGUAUGUUUUGUCGUAAUGUGCAUUGGGGUAGUGUAGGUCCAUAUAUUUGUUCAGCAUCACUUUUGGGUUCGGCUAAAUUUGCUAUAUAACAUGUUGCGUUGGCACGUCAUUAAUGGGCUAAUAAGACUAAUUAAAUUUUCAAGAAAAGCUAAUAAGAGCAUAUGCGGGCAUGUCCAUAGACAUCUGUAUACAUUUUGUGUGAUUAGACUUUACUCUUCAAGUUGUUCGGGUAGGAUGAAUUUACGUAAUUAUUUAGCAUGUUAAUAAUUUUCGGUUUUUUUUCUUCAUAUUAUACCAUUGUCUCAUUUCUUGCAUUGAGUUCAUAAUAUCUAUUUUUGGAAAAAAAAAAAGGUUAAAUAAUAUCGACCAAGUAGGACACAUUAUUAAUGAUUAUGAUUAUUGGAAGAUUGAAAACUUUAUAUUUGAAAAAUGGACCGACGCAAGAAUAUUUAACAAAACUUAAGUACAUGACUUUGGGAAAAAAAAAUUGGUGUGAAAUUUUAGAUUCUCGAAUGGUUAAUCGAUGUAAACACAUAAAUCCAAUAUCUUUAUAACUGUUACGGAUGAAGAUUAUGUGAUGAAUGCGAAUGCACGUCGUCGAUUAUACCGAUACUAAGCCUUGGGUUAGACAGAAAUGUUUUGUCAAGUUUUAACGUAAGUUUCGGCCGAACUUAGAGAAUAUUCUUGACCUUGACAUGCAGAUACCGAACACCGUGGGCUUUGUCUUGGGACUGUCUCAGAUGGUCGUGUACGGAUACUACAGAAACAAUGAGGUCAUGGACGAGAAGCUCCCGCAACACGUCGCCAUCACCGUCGUUCGCCCCCCACUAGGAGGAGUCUCCGAAGUCCGCCCUGUCACCGAUGAAAUCUCGCCCCCCAUCGACCGCGGUGAAGCCCGAGCAGAUGAGCAACAGCCACAGCCAUCACAACUGCCGAAGGGUGCCAUGGAAGUGGUAGUUUCUGGCGAUGACCUGGAGUCUGAUCAGCCAAGUUAAGUUGGCUCAGGCCCAACUUACCAUCGAGCGGGGCUUUAAUUAAGAAUGUGAAGGCUCAAAUUAGCGUCGAUCUAUCCUCCUCUCCAUGAUGAUCCUAUUUGCUCUAUCAAUGUCUCUCUCUAUCCGUCUCUUUUGUUCAGUUGAUGUACAAUUGUGUGAACGAGAAAGUCCUCCGACAAUCUCUCAGAAGUGUAUUCAUUAUUCCGUUUUCUAAUUAAUGAAUAAAUUAAUUACUAGUAAAUUCGAUGAUGCUCGUGUUGAAUUGCCUAAUUGCCUAAACUCACUUGUAUAGAUCAAUGUGAACUAAACCCAAAAUUUAGUCUGUUGGUUUAUAGAUUUGGGUUCGGUUUAACCAAGCCAUUCAACCAUAUCCAACUUCAAUCUCGAUUUGCUUAUUCUCAAAACUGCUAAAUUAGAGUGCUAUACCAAAAAGAAAAAAAAAAGUAGAUGCCUUAAAAGAGCCAAAGUCGAUUUGGUGUAUUUGAUAUAACUCCAAUUAUAUUGGCAUCGCCGGAUCAAACUCUAUGAAUGAAGAGCACACUCUUUUCACAACUGCCGGGGUCUAUUGCGAAAAAAGAAAACCGAGAUAAGAUUGGGAACCUUCCACACUUCGAUACUUUGAAGCCAUACUAAUUGUUCUCCCAUAGUUUCUCUCGUUUCGCUGCAAAACCAAGAAACGCCUCCUUCGACUCCCGGCAUCUAAGUCAUGAUCAUCUCGCCAAUGCCGCCACAAUCUUUUCAUUUAAAUUAAGAUCACGUACAAAUCUUACACAGUUUUACAAAAUUGUUAAUUUCAAGCAUUCAAACCGGUCUUAAAUCGGUUUCUUUUGUAGUGUCAAGUAAGUGCUGGACAUAGAAUCCCACAUCACUGGGAAACACCUCCAAAUCAUUGAUUUGGAAUCGGAAAGGUGUCCAAUCUAAUCCCAAUCAAACCCAGCAUGCAAUUUAUCUAAUAACUAAAAGUUCCAAGGCUCAGCCUAACUUACAAUUCCCACCGAAAUGCUAAACCAUGAAACCGGGACAGCUCUGAUAGGAAUAAUUCAACGUCAUAUACAAUGAUGACUAAUGCAAUCAGUGAACGCUGCGUACGGCACUUCAGCAUAUGAAUUAUAUUCCAGCAAAAAGAUAACUUUACACGCUUUGAGAAACCAAGAUACCAGAAUCUGAGACUACUUACCCUCAGCGAUGACUCUCACUCCAUCAUCCAAUUCGCGCUUCGACCCGAAAACCCGAGAAACCAGCCCCACCACCUUCGCCUCCGAACCCGACACCCUCCGACCCGUCAAGCCCUGCUCCAUCGCGUUCCCGUACCCCACGAUGCUGGGCAACCUCUGCAGCGUCCCGAGGUCGGCGAUGAUCGCCAGGUCCACCUCCAUCACCGAGAAGAACGCGUCCUCCGUGCAGUACCUCACGUCGCACGCGGUGGCGACAUUGACGCCGCCCCCGACGCACGCCCCGUGGACGGCGGCGAUCACCGGCUUGCGACAACGCUCGAUGGCCGUCACCGCGUCCUGUAGGGUCUUGAUGUCCCGGAGGAGCCGCUCCCCGGCGCGGCCGCGGUCGCCGGGUGUGGGGGAGGAGUCGAGGGCGGCGAGGUCGAUGCCGGAGCAGAAGUGGUGGCCGGCGCCGGAGCGGACGACGACGAGGGCGUCGGGGUUGUGGUCGAGGGAGUCGAGGGAGAGGGCGUUGCGGGAGGAAGGGCGGUUGAGGCGGAGGUGGAAGACGGCGGAGCCGGGGCUGGCUCGGAGGAUUUCCAGG